rnacentral:lncRNA from 1 species
CCAUAUGAGUAUUGAUCCCAUUGAAGCGGAGGUGGGAGAAGGAUUACCUAGUAAUGUGGUGGAUGACGAUGAACCGAAUAUCACAAAUAUUCAUCCAUCGGAUGCUUGGGCUAGUUGGAGGAUGGAACUAGCCAACCAAAUGUUCGAUGAAUGGCAAGCAUCUAGAAAUUAGUUUGUGAAACUUUUGUGAAAUUUUUGUGAGACUUUUGUAUUGAUUUUUGUAUUGUAUUAAACUUGUUGAAUUAUAAUUUAAUUUCUUCUCAUUCAGCAUCUGUUAUAAUUUUAAAUUUUUUGUAGUAUGAAUCAUAUAUAUUCAUGAUAUUGAACUUAAUUAUAAUUUUAUAAAGUGUUCACCUUUUGAAUCAUGAUAUUAAAAUAGUAAUUAAUAUAAUUUGUUUUCUUUUUUGUUCUUAAGAUCAUUAUGUCAGGUGUUCUAGAAUCAAAUGCUUAUUCUCAAGCUUCUCGAGGAAGCAAAAGAAAAUGGGUUCCAGAAGAAGAUGCAGCAUUGGUUUCCUGCAUGGUGGACCUGCACAAUGGUGGAACAUUUAAUGCUGAUACUGGGUUCAAAGCCGGUUAUCUAAACAAGUUGGAAAGAAUGCUACAAACGGUUUUACCAAAUGCAAUGUUGAAGGCGAAACCUAAUAUUGAAUCGAGGAUUAGGUUACUAAAAAGGGAGUGGUCAAUCGUCUACGACAUGCUUAAUGGCCAAAACAAUAGCGGUUUUGGUUGGGACGAGCAUAGGCUGCUCGUUGUUGCUGAAGAUGCGGUUUGGGACUCCUAUUUAAAGGUAAGAUUAUUUCAAGUCUUUAUUAUCUUAUUUUUACCAAACUUAUGACUAAUAUGAUUUCCCCAUUUUUUUAGAGUCACCAAGAAGCCGCUCAAUUCAGAUAUCGUACUUUCCCUUACUACGACCAGCUUACUACCAUAUACGCAAGAGAUCGAGCAACUGGGAAAGAUGCUCAAACAGCUACUGAUGUUCUUGAAGAAAUAAAUGCUGCGGAUGUACGUACUACAGGUAUGGAUGAAGAAAGAAACUCAUUCUAUGACUGCGAAGCUGACAUCUCUUUGGAUGACAUGGAUGUUUCUGCUGCGGAGCUGUAACGAGAUAGAGACCAAGGGGGUUCCUCAUCUUCAAACAAGAGAAAGAAGAAAUCUGAUGCUCAUGAUAUGUCUUCUUCAUUUGAUGAGGCUGCCACUUUAUUGGCCGAAAACAUCAAGGCCGUUGGCGAUCAAAUCAGUAGGAGUAUUGCCUCGGAGGUGGUAGUUCAGCAGAAGUCAGAAGACUAUCAAAAGAUGGAAGAGAAAGCUUCAAAUUUAUAUUCAGCCUUAUGGGAAAUUGAAGGUUUAACCGACGAUCAGCGGUAUGAUGCUUUGAGUAAAAUUCCAGAUCAUCCAACUCAAAUGAUCGUUUUCUUUAGUUUACCUUCUGUUUCCCGAUUGGAAUGGGUCAGAAGAUUUCUUUCUCACCAUUAAAAAUCAAUGUUCAAACUUUUUGAUGUUAUAAAACUAUAUAACAUAUGGAUUAUGAUGUAGAAUUUCAUUUUCAUCUAACCUUUUCUUAAUAUAAGUUAAUUAUGUCUAUGCAGAAUAUAAUUCUCAAGUUAUAUAUUGAUUUUAGUAAAUUCAUAUAAGAACAUUUUAUUAUUAAGAAUUUUAUGAAAUUAUAUAUCAUUAUUAAAUUAUAUUUAAUAUUAAUUAUUUUAAAUUGUAUAAAUUCGUAUAAGAAAAUUUAUUAUCAAGAAUUUUAUGAAAUUAUAUAUUAUUAAAUUAUAUGUAAUAAUAAUUAUUUUAAAUUAUACAAAUUCAUAUAAUAUAAUUUAUUAGUUAUAAUUAUUUUAUAUUUUAUUAAAUAAUAUCUUUUAAUUAAAAUAUAUUUAAUAUUAAUUAUUUCAAAUUAUCUUUUAUAGUAUCAUAUAUUAUGAUUUGAGUAAAUUCAUAUAAGAUAUUAAUUAUUAAGAAUUUUAUUAAAUUAUAUAUUUUAAUUAUAAUAUAUUUAAUAAUUAUGUUAAUGUGUCUUUUAUAGUAUCAUAUAUUAUGAUUUGAGUAAAUUCAUAUAAGAAUAUUAAUUAUUAAGAAUUUUAUUAAAUUAUAUAUUUUAAUUAUAAUAUAUUUAAUAAUUUAUGUUAAUUUAUCUUUUAUAGUAUCAUAUAUUAUGAUUUGAGUAAAUUCAUAUAAGAAUAUUAAUUAUUAAGAAUUUUAUUAAAUUAUAUAUUUUAAUUAUAUUUAAUAAUAAUUAUGUUAAUUUAUAUUUUAUAGUAUCAUAUAUUAUGAUUUGAGUAAAUUCAUAUAAGAAUAUUAAUUAUUAAGAAUUUUGUUAAAUUAUAUAUUUUAAUUAUAAUAUAUUUAAUAAUAAUUAUGUUAAUUUAUCUUUUAUAGUAUCAUAUAUUAUGAUUUGAGUAAAUUCAUAUAAGAAUAUUAAUUAUUAAGAAUUUUAUUAAUUAUAUAUUUUAAUUAUAAUAUAUUUAAUAAUAAUUAUGUUAAUUUAUUUUUAGUAUCAUAUAUUAUGAUUUGAGUAAAUUCAUAUAAGAAUAUUAAUUAUUAAGAAUUUGUUAAAUUAUAUAUUUUAAUUAUAAUAUAUUUAAUAAUAAUUAUGUUAAUUUAUCUUUUAUAGUAUCAUAUAUUAUGAUUUGAGUAAAUUCAUAUAAGAAUAUUAAUUAUUAAGAAUUUUAUUAAAUUAUAUAUUUUAAUUAUAAUAUAUUUAAUAAUAAUUAUGUUAAUUUAUAUUUUAUAGUAUCAUAUAUUAUGAUUUGAGUAAAUUCAUAUAAGAAUAUUAAUUAUUAAGAAUUUUAUUAAAUUAUAUAUUUUAAUUAUAAUAUAUUUAAUAAUAAUUAUGUUUAAAUAUGAUUAAAUUAUUUAUUAUUGAUAUUAAUAAUCUUAUUAAAAUUUAAAUAACAAUAACAAUAAUCAUUUACCAAAACAAAUUUAUGCUAAGGGUAUUCUAGUCAUUUUAGUUUUUUCCAUUAUGCUAUUACACCUCUAUUACAUUCAACCAAACACAAGAAUACUAUUACGCCUCUAUUCCAUUACAUUCAACCAAACAAUUGAUUUGCUAUUACACCUCUAAUCCAUUACACCUCUAUUCCAUUACGCCUCUAUUCCAAUAGAGCGAACCAAACGUGCUGUUAGGAUAGGGGUUUAGGCUAACCCUAAGCUCUUGAUUAACACUACGAAUUGUGCAAACUAGACUGACUCCGGAUACUCACCAAUCACGCUUCUGCUUACAAGCUAAAAGCUUAAAACAAGCUUUUUCUUUCCUUUAGACUUGUCCAUAGUGGCUCCUGAUUAAUAUGGAAAUUUACACACAUAAGAAACAUAUUCCAAACUCAUCAAAACAUCCUUGAACACAACCAAACAGCAAGAAAUAAAAAACAAUUCAAGUCUCUCCUUUUUUACUACCGAAAACUAGCUAGUUUUGUCAAAAUUAAAAUUUUUAAGUGCCUAACCUAAUUUCUAAUCCUCCAUUUUGAUUCCAAACAUCUUAGAUAACCUUUAUUUUCAAAACUAAACCAUUAAUUUUACCUAAAUCCAUGGUUCUAAAUUUUUCAAAAAAUUGAAGCUUUUGAGAACAUGAAAAAAGGGAAAACUCUUAAUUCUUCAAAAUUCGGUUAUGAACUAUCAAAUUGAAGUAAAAUGCCUUCUAGUUAAGUUUGAAUCAAAAAUCACUUUGAAAACACAAGUUUACUCAAGAUUUUGAAAUCUAUCAUUAUUGAAUCAAAACAUACAUUAAAAACAUCAAACCCAAAUAUACCCGUUUAAAACUCGAUUUGAAUUAACACUUUUUAUUUGUCAGAAUAUUACCUUUAUUUGAUGAAAACGACAAUCUACAACUCAAAUUCGAGAUUUGAACUUAAGAAGAAUAAUGAUGAAAUUGGGGAAGAAAACAUGAUUUUCGUUUGAAAUUGGGGGUUGUUUUGGUGUUUGGAAGGUUAAUAAAUACAAAAGAAUGAAUUGAUUUUGAAAGAAAUCUCUAAUUUUAGGUUUUGGAAAACUUUUGAAUGUUUUGGUGUUUUAAAUAGAAGGGAUAGAUGGUGGUAUACUCCAUGUAGAAGACUAAUUUAAAAAAUUGGGCAAUUUUCCCUUUUGGUCACUCCUAAUUCUUCUAUUUUUCAAAAAUGUCCUAAAUGAAUUAAAAUCCAUUUUUUUUUCAAAUUAGACCUCAAAAUUAAAUUUUCUUUUGUGCUAAAUAAAAAUCUGAUUAUGACACUCACAUACUUAAAUUACUCAUUUACAACCUUAUCUUUCGAUAUCUGACUCAACCUCCGGUAAAAAAAACCCUGAUUCUACUAACCAAAAACUACUAGGCCGGGUUUUAGGAUGUGACACUUAUCGAGUACAGAAGCGGAUCGACCUAGUGGCUUACCAACUUGAACUAGCUCCUGAGUUGGAUCAAAUCCGCAAUGUGUUCCAUGUAUCAAUGUUGCGACGCCAUCAUUCUGAACCUUCCCAUAUCAUUCCCGUUGCAGAGAUCAAACUCUAACCGGACUUAUCUUUUGAGCAAGAACCAAUUAAAAUAAUAAAUAGAGAUGUUAAAACUUUAAGAAAUAAGCAAAUUCCUCUAGUAAAUGCUUUCUAGCAAAAGAAUGGGACCUAAGAAGCAAUAUGGGAAACUGAGGAGUUGAUUCGUCAGCAAUAUCAUCACUUGUUUGGAUAAGGUAAGUUAAAAUUCGAGGAUGAAAUUUUUUUAGGGAAGGAGAUUUGUCACAUCCCAAAAUUAGGCCUAAAAGAAAUAGGAAUUAAAUUUAGAUUUUUAUUUCCUUAAAAGCAUAGGGUAAGAGAAUUAGAGUGCCUUAAAAAUAAUUUGUGUUAAGGAAGUAACAAGAAUGAGCUUGCUGGUUCAGUCAUAAGACCUUAGCUUACCCAUAAGUCCCAAUUUUGAAACCCCUAGUGCACCUUUCAGCUAAAAUAAUUUAUUUUUUUUGUUUUUACCCCAUAAAAGUGCCAAAUUUUCAAAAUAGCCCAACCUAAAACUAUUUUUUACAUUUUGUCCUUAAUUUAAAAAAAGUCCUAAUUCUACAUCAUUCCAGAAAUUUGUGAGUCGACCACCACCUAUAGCCCAAAACACAUUACCUACGUCUGACCAAACCUUCAUCAGAGAUCACCAAAUAUACGAAUAAUUACUCCUUUUUAUGGUCAACGGAUUGAAGGACCCCUUGAACUGUGUAUUUACUUCUCAAUAAUUGAACCCACAUUGCUUCCGUAUUAGAAAGAAUCUGGAAACCCAAUUUUUAAUAAGAAAAUUUUAUUCUGCACAAAUAAGUUCUGAAGGCCAAGGCCUCCAGUCUCAAGAGGACGACAACAAUUUUCCCAAGAAACUAAAGCUGCUUUCUUGGACUGAGAUGUUGAACCCCAAAUGAAGUUACAGGCUAACUUCUCAAUUUUGCUGCAGACAAAGAGAGGAAUGUGAAUGGUACUCAUAAAGUAUUAGACGUAACAUGGGAAUGAAACAAAGGCAUGCCAAGAUAAUUUCCUCUAUUCAUUUUCUAGCCUAAAAAAUGACAGAAUCUACGGAGCAUAUCAUUCAUUUGACUUGCUUGAGUCAAGUUGGCUUCAAAGAAGAGAAUGAGAUCGUCAACGAAAAAUAGAUGAGAAAGUGCAAGACCUCCUCUUGAAAGAAAGAUCAAAAACCAACUUCCACAUCCUAUAGCCUCAUAAAUUAAGUGCCCCAGUCUUUCCAUGCAAAGAACAAACAAUAGGAUAAUGGGUCAACUUGUCUCAAACCGCGCAUCGGACAAAAACUUUCCGUGAUACUACCAUUCCAUAGAAUCUAGAAAGAUGCAGAGGAAACACAGUUCAUAAUCACAGAUACCAAAAAUCUAGGUAGGCCCACUUCCAAAAGUGUGUCUUCCAAAAAAUCCCACUUGAUCCUGUCAUAAGCCUUCUCUAAAUCGAUCUUCAAAGCCAUCCCAUAUUUAUGACAUUUGAAACACCUUAUAGAUUGAAUGGCUUCCUAAGUAACCACAAUAUUAUCUGUAAUAUACCUUCUUGCAACAAAGCUAGCUUGGUUCUGAUUAGUGAGCUUCAUCAUCAAAGGCCUCAGUCUAUUAAAAAUUAUUUUCAUUAUAAUCUUAUAAACCACCGUACAUAGGCUAAUCGGCUUAAACUGAGAAAUCCUCUCCAGCCCUUGAACUUCUGGCAAUAAAGCAAUCAACAUUUUAUUAGUUGUAGGAUCAACAGGCUCACCUCCCAUUCGAGGCACCAACAAUGUCCCAUUUUGCCUGAUAGAAUUUAGCAUGGAAACCAUCAAUUCCCAGAUCCUUCAAGGGUGCCAUGCUAAAAACAGCUUUGUGAAUUUCAUCAUCAUUUAUAGUUAGCUUUAAACAUUCCAUAUCAGCCAUGGAUAUUGAAGGGAACUUACCUUGGCUAGGAAGAGAACCAUUGACCGAAUAUUCAGUUGCAAACAAGUCUCUGAAUUAGUGCACAACAUGAUGUUUCAAGGCAACAUUAUCAAAACACCAUUCAUCAUUUUCAACCUUUAAACCUUUAAUAUUAUUUCUCCUUCAUCUUGCCAGAGAACGACCAUGGAAAUAACUUGUAUUUCUGCUUCCAUGUGAAAGCCAAUUGAAUUUAGAUUUUUGGAACCAUAGUAGUUCCUCAUGGUACAAAAUUUAUUCAACCUCUUGUCUUAAUUGUAAUUCAAGUUAUCAAAAGUGCGCCGAUAAUCGUAAAUCAAGAAUUUUUUGCACCCUGUUCAGUUUCAAGAUAUGGUUCUCUUGCGAAUAGAGCUAUUUUCGUAAACCCGUUUGUUCCAAUCUUGCACCACAUUCUGGAAACAUUCUAAAUUCCUCACAAUACCAUCAUUAAAUCUCCAUGUUUUCCUCACAAGCUCUUUAAACUCCGCAUGAAGUAUCCAGCUAGCUAGACAUCCAAUCGGACGAUAGUCCCGUUAAACAUUCGGCCUUAGAGAGACCAAAAUAGGAUGAUGAUUUCAUUUUAGUCUAUGAAGAUUACGAACAACACAGUUGGUUGCAAAGAAGUCCCAUUCAGUGUUACAAAUUGCCCGAUCAAGACGUUGAGAUAGAUUCCCUCUACUCCAAGUGAAUUACGGACAACUAUAACCUAAAUCCUGAAUCUUAUAGUCAAACAAGAACGACUAAAACCACUUACAACUAAGUCGUGAUUGAGAACCAUUUCCAACCAUUUUCGGCCCAUUUAACACCGAGUUAAAAUCACCAGCAAUUAGCCACGAUUCAAAAAUCGAGUUUGCCAUAACAUCCAAAAUAUACCAGAAAUAUUUCCUCUGACUUUGUUAUGCACUAGCAUAAACUGCAAUGCAAAGGAAACUAGAAGUGUCAUUCUUGCUACAAACCUUCAUAUGAACCAUUUGAGGGUGAAUAGCUAAAAUAUCAAUUGAAACCGUCUCAUUCCAAAGGAUCCAAAAACCACCACUAAAACCAUUAGCUUCAAUCCUACAUGACCGAGCCAUUCCGAUUUGAGAAAUAAUUCAGUCAGCACGCACACCACUCGUUUAGGUUUCAACAUGACACACAAUCUCUGGUUGAAACUCCCUUCGAUACUUAGAAAAAAAAUUAUGAAAGUGCGGAUGACCCGCACCUUGACAAUUCCAAAAAAUGAUUUUUCUAUCCAUAUAUAAAAGGAAAAUAGAGAAACCCAACAGCAACAAUACUGUUAGUAGCUAACCUUGGCAUCAGUUAAAUCUAGUUGACCCAUCGGUUCAUCAUCUUCUGGGUUUUUAGCUAAAAUCUCUGUAGUUGCAUGACCCUGCUCCAACCCAAAAAUUAUACCCUCCAUAGCUGCCACUAAAUCCACCGUAUCUAUUGGUGAUUUACUCAACUCAUCAGGCGGUUUACGGUGUUAUGAAUCCCCUUCGGCUGGUAAUAGAAUUGGCGGCCCUUGGAACUCACUGUUGGAAGCUACUCCAAAUCGAAAACCCCCUUUUCAGUAUUCGAAUCCAUGCCCAAAAUUUCCUUGCACAAACCCUUGUUUUCUUUUUCACUGCGUACUUCCUGAAAUGUUUGAUGCCUUUAAUUAUCAAGCUUGGCUAUUAAGGAUACUAGGUGAAAUCCCACAAUUUGGUCUGCCCCAACAGAUUUGGGGUUAAACGAUUCAAUAGCCUCUGCAGGUCGCAAAUGCAUUCUAUUUGAAGCCUCCACAUUAUCACUAAUGAGUUUCAAAACUUUCAGGCCCACUUUGGACACAUUUCCAUGAAUAACACCAUUACCAUUAGCAUUCAGUUUAUUCUUCCUUAGGCCAGCAAUUCGUUUUGUGAGAUCCACUAGAUUUCCACUCUCAUGGACAUUUAAUUCCUAUGUCGGUUUGUCAACAAUAUUCAAAUAUUCAUCACCAAUAACCAGAUUUUUCUCCAAAAUAGCAGAGCGUGAUUGAUCUAGAAUCACUCAUUGACCUACGCUCCUUGUCUCUUUGCUACUCCAGCCUCUCCCCCUUUGCCGACGCUCUACCAACUUCCGUAGACCAAAGUCCUCUUCCUCAACCCUUUUUUGAAGUUCUAAUUUCUCAUCAACCACAGAAGCACUAUUGUUACCACCAUUGGACGAAGGAGAAUUCAUACGCACACAACCUUUAGCACAAUGACCAUAGAGACCAAAGUUGAAACAAACGUUAGGCAAAUAUUCAUAUUCCACACGCUGUGUUCGACCAUUUAUCUUCACUUUGGGAGCCAACAAUUUCUUAAGAUCAACACAAACAACUAAGCGCACAAACUUACCCCUCUUGGAAAAGUCUGUGUGAGUGUCAAGUUUUAUGACUGGACCAAUAGCUUGCCCGAUAGCACGCGGUAAGAAGUUAAAAUAGUAGCCUUCUGGAAGACCACGCAAUCUUAUCCAAACUGCCUGAACAUCGAUUCCAGUAUCAGUGGUAGAGAAGUCUGAUGACCAAGGGUGCAUUGUUAAAUACUAACCAUAGACAACCCACAACCGUCCUGCCAAUACUCGAUUAUAGUCCUUCUCAUUGUGAAAACGAACCUAGUAAAAAUCAUUCUCCAAGUCCAUCAACUAGAUAUGAUUCAUCGGUUUCCACAAAAUAUUAAUCUUAUUAAGCAUAGCAUGAAAGCCAAUUCUGCGACCCAAGAGUUUAACAAUUACAGUUUUCGAUAUCUUCCAUUCUAUAAACUUAUGAACUCAAUCAGAAAAAGUGAUCGAUGGUAUCCAUCUACCACUAUUGGGAAUUAUCCAUAUUUAUGGAAAAUCAAAGAUAUGGGUAUCAAAUAAUGAAAAGUCAAAGAUAUGGGUAUCAAAUAUUGGAAAGUCAAAGAUAUGGGUAUCGAGAUAUUGGCAUAAUAAAAUCUAAGAUAUUUGCAAUAUAUGGUCCCUAAAUUGUAAAGUGACUUUGCAAGUUGAUCCCUGAACCUCAACUAUAAAUAGGCAUAACCAUCUCUCAUUCUGUAUCUCAAACUUGCCAUUCUCUACUUAAGGCAUUGUUUUCUCUCUCUCUUUGUAAAUUCUCACUUGUAUUUUGGAGUGAAAUAUAUUUGGUAGUGCCCGAGGACAUAGGCAAAAUUUGCUGAACCUCGUUAAAUUCUUGUGUUCUUUAUUGUAUUAUUCUGCAUGAAUUGUGUGUGUGAUUGUAGUGAUUUAUUGUGCUAUUAAAUUACGUUUGAGGGAUAUUCUGGCUAGGAAAGACCUGGUACUUAAGCGAUCCUUGCGAUCCACCUCUCUUUCCUGGGAAUUGAACUUAGUGUGAUUUUUUAGUACAAUAAUUUUACUCUUUUACACGCUUCCGCACAACAAUUGGUAUCAGAGCUAGGUUCGUACUUGGGGAAUACGAUCGUUCACGGCACUGUUCACGUACUAUAGUUGGGAUUGAGGAGAAAAAAAUGGAAAAGUCAUCGUCAAAGACUACUGUGACCAAUGCGAAAUUUGAAGUAGAGAAAUUUGAUGGUACCAAUAAUUUUGGUAUGUGGCAAUGUGAGAUCCUGGAUGUCUUAUGUCAGCAAGAGCUGGAUAUAGCCCUUGAAGAAAAACCUGACAAGAUGGAUGACAAGGAGUGGGCCAAGAUCAAUAGACAGGCAUGUGGAACAAUUCGCCUAUGUUUGGCCAAAGAGCAGAAGUACUCUGUCAUGAGGGAGACAUCAGCGAAGAAGUUGUGGGAUACACUGGAAGAAAAGUUUCUAACAAAAAGUCUUGAAAAUAGGCUUUAUAUGAAAAAGAAACUUUAUCGAUUCACGUAUGCACCCGGUAUGUCGAUGAAUGACCAUGUGAACUCAUUCAAUAAAAUUUUAGCAGACUUGCUAAUUUUGGAUGAGAAAUUUGAAGAUGAAGACAAGGCAUUACUGUUGUUGAAUUCUCUUCCUGAUGAAUAUGAUCAUCUUACCACCACAUUGCUUCAUGGGAAGGAUACAAUCACAUUUGAUGCAGUCUGUAGUGCGUUGUAUAGAUCUGAGACUCGAAAGAAAGAUAAAAAAGAUCACAGAGAUACAACUACAGAAGUCUUAACAGUAAGAAGUCGUUCGCGCAGCAACAAAUCUGGUAGAAGGGGAAAGUCCAAAGGGAGACCCGCCAAAGAUGAAUGUGCCUUUUGCCGUGAAAAAGGGCAUUGGAAAAAGAAUUGUCCUAAGCUACAAAAGGGCAAGGCUAUUUCUAAUGCAUGUGUAGCGGAGCAUGAUGAGGAGUCAGACUUUAGCUUGGUUGGCAUGGCAAUGGCAUGUCAAACGGAUGAGUGGAUUUUGGAUUCAGGAUGUACUUACCAUAUGUGUCCUAAUAAGGACUGGUUUUCUAGUCUUAAAGAGCUAGAAGGUGGAAUUGUUCUUAUGGGAAAUGAUAGUGCUUGUAAGACAAUGGGAGUAGGUACAGUCCAAUUGAAGAAUCACGAUGGCUCAAUCCAAGUCUUGACAGAUGUUCGCUACGUACCUAGCCUGAAGAAAAAUCUCAUCUCAUUAGGUGCCCUAGAAUCUAAAGGGCUCACAAUCACUUUGAGAGAUGGAUUACUAAAAGUAGUAGCUGGGCAACUGACGGUGAUGAAAGGCACAAGAAGAAAUAACUUGUAUUUUUUAAAUGAAAGUACAGUUAUUGGAUCAACAUCAACAGUUUCUACAAAAGAUGUAGAUUCAGAGGCUACCAGAUUAUGGCAUAUGCGAUUGGGACAUGCUGGUGAAAAAGCUUUGCAGAAAUUGGUGAAGCAAGGCUUAUUGAAAGGUGCAAAUUCUUACAAAAUGGAAUUCUGUGAACAUUGUGUUCUGGGCAAGCAAAAGAGGGUAAAAUUUGGUCCAGCAAUUCACAAUACGAAAGGAAUUCUGGACUACGUUCACAGUGAUGUGCGGGGACCUACCAAAGUAGCUUCUUUGGGAGGUAUGCACUAUUUUGUUACUUUUUUUGAUGAUUAUUCAAGAAAAGUAUGGGUGCAUCUAAUGAAAAGAAAAAGUGAAGUUUCGGAUGCAUUUCUGAAAUGGAAGAAGAUGGUGGAGACUCAGACUGGUCGAAAGGUCAAAUGACUUCGAUCAGAUAAUGGUACUGAGUACAAAAACGAUCCAUUUCUACAAGUAUGCCAAGAUGAAGGCAUUGUGCGACACUUCACUGUUCGGGAUACACCACAGCAAAAUGGGGUGGCAGAACGAAUGAAUCGAACUAUACUGGAGAAAGUUCGAUGUAUGUUGUCCAAUGCUGGAUUGGGCAAAGAAUUUUGGGCUGAGGCAGUUACAUAUGCGUGCCAUCUAAUUAACCGUUUGCCAUCAGCUGCAAUAAAUGGAAAAACUCCUAUGGAGAUGUGGACUGGUAAAUCUGCUACUGAUUAUGAUUCUUUGCAUGUAUUUGGUUCCACUGCAUAUUAUCAUGUAAAAGAAUCUAAGUUAGACCCAAGAGCAAAGAAAGCAUUAUUCUUGGGUAUAACUGAUGGAGUAAAAGGAUAUCGUCUCUGGUGUCCUGAUACAAGGAAGAUUGUUUUCAGUAGAGAUGUGACUUUUGAUGAAUCAACCAUGUUGAAGUACAAGGAUUCACAAAAGGAUGACAAAACCAGUAGUACUUUGCAGCAGGUGGAGCUUGAAAAGGUUAACGAUGAUCCAGCUAAUAUUGAAGGGACAAAUGAUGAAGAGGUUCCUACCCAAGAAUCUCUACAGCAACAAGAUUCAAUUGCAAAUAGAAGGCCAAGAAGAGAGAUUCGUAAGCCUGCUCGCUUUGAUGAUAUAGUGGCCUAUGCACUUCCAAUUACAGAUGAUGAUGUUCCUUCUACUUACACAGAAGUAAUAAGUAACCCUGAUGGUGUAAAGUGGAAGCAAGCAAUAAAUGAAGAAAUGCAGUCUCUUCAUAAAAAUAAGACCUGGGAGUUGGUGACACUACCCAAGGGAAAGAAGGCAAUUGGAUGCAAAUGGGUAUAUGCAAAGAAGGAAGGAUUUCCUGAUAAAAAUGAAAUUCGAUACAAGGCUAGAUUAGUAGCAAAGGGUUACGCUCAGAAAGAAGGAAUAGACUACAAUGAAGUGUUUUCUCCAGUUGUGAAGCAUUCGUCUAUUCGGAUUUUGCUAGCCUUGGUUGCGUAAUAUGAUCUUGAACUAGUUCAGCUUGAUGUGAAGACCGUAUUUUUACACGGUGAUUUGGAAGAGAAAAUCUAUAUGACUCAGCUAGAUGGAUUCAAGGUUGAUGGAAAAGAAAAUUGGGUUUGCAAACUGACAAAGUCGCUUUAUGGAUUGAAGUAAUCUCCGAGGCAGUGGUACAAGCGAUUUGAUCAGUUCAUGAAAGGGCAAAGGUACACAAGAAGUAAAUUUGAUCAUUGCGUGUAUUUUCAGAAGCUACAAGAAGGAACUUUCAUAUACUUGCUCUUAUAUGUUGAUGAUAUGCUAAUAGCAUCUAAGAGCAAAGUUGAGAUUGAAAGAUUGAAGACUCAACUCAAUCUCGAGUUUGAGAUGAAAGAUCUAGGAGAAGCUAAAAAGAUUCUCGGCAUGGAAAUAUGGAGAGAUAGAGCUCAUGAUAGAGUUAGCUUGUCUCAGAAGCAGUAUUUGAAAAAGGUACUACAGCAGUUUGGCAUGAACGAGCAGACAAAACCUGUAAGUACCCCGUUGGCUUCUCAUUUCAAGCUUUCUGCACAACUAUCUCCUUCGACGAAUACGAAACGAGAAUACAUGUUGCAAGUUCCGUAUUCUAAUGCAGUAGGUAGUUUGAUGUAUGCAAUGGUGUGUACAAGACCCGACAUUUCACAGGCAGUUAGUAUAGUGAGCAGGUAUAUGCAUAAUCCUGGAAAAGGACAUUGGCAAGCUGUGAAAUGGAUUCUACGGUAUAUUCAUAAGACCAUGGAUAUUGGAUUACUGUUCAAGCAGGAUACUACACUUGGUAAAGGUGUUGUUGGGUACGUUGAUUCUGAUUAUGCCGGUGAUUUGGACAAACGAAGAUCAACCACUGGUUAUGUGUUUACUCUUGCUGGAGGACCAAUAAGUUGGAAGUCUACACUGCAGUCUACAGUUACGUUGUCAACCACAGAAGCUGAAUACAUGGCUGUAACAGAGGCUGUAAAGGAAGCUAUUUGGUUACAAGGUAUGGUUAAAACCUUGGGAUUGGUCCAGGAGCAUAUUAAUGUGUAUUGUGAUAGUCAAAGUGCUAUUCAUUUAGCAAAGAAUCAAGUCUAUCAUGCACGUACAAAGCAUAUCGAUGUACGUUUCCACUUUGUGCGGGAAAUUAUUGAUGAGGGGAAAAUUCACCUUCAGAAGAUUAAGACUGCAGAUAAUCCCGCAGAUAUGAUGACCAAGGUGGUAACAACAAUCAAGUUCGAACAUUGUUUGAACUUGAUCAAUAUUCUGCAUGUUUAACAGUUGAAGAAGGCACUAUCAAGUGUUGUUGACAAAGGCAGAGAGAAUUGUGUGAAGAUAAGAUUACUCGAAUCAAAUCUUCAAGGUGGAGAUUAUUGGGAAUUAUCCAUAUUUAUGGAAAAUCAAAGAUAUGGGUAUCAAAUAAUGGAAAGUCAAAGAUAUGGGUAUCAAAUAUUGGAAAGUCAAAGAUAUGGGUAUCAAAUAUUGGAAAGUCAAAGAUAUGGGUAUCGAGAUAUUGACAUAAUAAAAUCUGAGAUAUUUGCAAUAUAUGGUCCCUAAAUUGUAAAGUGACUUUGCAAGUUGAUCCCUGAACCUCAACUAUAAAUAGGCAUAACCAUCUCUCAUUCUGUAUCUCAAACUUGCCAUUCUCUACUUAAGGCAUUAUUUUCUCUCUCUGUCUUUGUAAAUUCUCACUUGUAUUUUGGAGUGAAAUAUAUUUGGUAGUGCCCGAGGACGUAGGCAAAAUUUGCUGAACCUCGUUAAAUUCUUGUGUUCUUUAUUGUAUUAUUCUGCAUGAAUUGUGUGUGUGAUUGUAGUGAUUUAUUGUGCUAUUAAAUUACGAUUGAGGGAUAUUCUGGCUAGGAAAGACCUGGUACUUAAGCGAUCCUUGCGAUCCACCUCUCUUUCCUGGGAAUUGAACUUAGUGUGAUUUUUUAGUACAAUAAUUUUACUCUUUUACACGCUUCCGCACAACAACCACAUCCGUUAUCACAUCCCCCUCCUGCAAUUCAAAAACCUCUUCUAUCAUAUUUGUUUGGUCCGGAUUCUGAGCCAUACCUAACAACUUGGCAUUGUAUGAAGCCUUUGCCAAACUGAGAUCUAGAAUCUGCUGUCCAUUCUCAUCGACCAUGGGAUCAUCUGACUCCGUAGAAACCUCUGAUCUCCUACAAACUUUCUUUGUUGCUCUUCCGACACUGUUGUUUGAAUUAUCAGGUUUUCCGGCCAUUAUGACCUCCAUUCAAUUUUUUUUGGUAGACUCCCUUGUAACUUUUUAAUUUAAUUAGUAUUGGUAUGUUACUAAUAUAAAACUAAUUAAAAUUAUUUUUCUUUAAUACUAAAUAUUUAUUAAGUAACAGAACUUAUAACUUACUAUUCUGGAAACUUAGAAUUUAGGAUCUCAACUUUUGUCAAUUAUGCAACAUUUCAUUGACAUUAUUUUAUGCCCUUUAUUGUAUAUACACACUCGUUUUUUCUUUUGUCCAUGGUUUAGGUAAUAAGAAAGCUCAUUUUCUUAGUUUAAUUGAAUCUUGAAUGCUCUAUACUUUGAUUUUAUUAUUUGCAUGUAAUUGAAGAUGUUAUACUCGAUGUUUUUGACGGUUUAAUUUAAUAAAAUUGAAGUAUACAUUAUAUAUAAUAAAAAAUAUCAGAUCCAACGUGUAUUUUUAUGCUUUAUAUUUGUAACUACUAAGUUGGAAAUUCUCAAAAUUCCAAACCCUACAAUUUUCAAAGACCAAGAAAAAUAUUUAUAUUAUCUCAAAUAAUGGAUAACAUUCAAUACAAUGAGCUAUGGAUGGAUAAUAAAAUAAGGCAAACAAGUACAAAUUUAUAAUAGGGAUAUAAAGCUAUUAGUUUUACAUAAAUUUUUAAUUUUUCUAUAAUUAAUAUUUUAAUAAUAUUAUAUUUUAUAUUGUAUUCAUGUAGAUUAUGAACGUUAAGUUUUAAGUUAUUAAAAAUGAAUAUAUCUUCAUUGUAACAUAUUUUUAACUAUUAAAUAUAUAUAACACUCUAAAAUAGAGAUUAGAAGUUUUAGGGAUAUUUUAGGGAUUUUAGUCUUACAGUGUUCGAAAUUUUGCAACAUGGUUUAUCGGUAAUGUUUCUGACUAUGGUUUUUAGAAAAUUAAAUCAAUUUUUGAAAAUGACUUUUAAACACCUUUAAUUUUGAAAAAAUGACUAAUUUAUAAAAGAUUCAGAACUUAGAGUUUUUAAGAGGCAAUUAACCAUAUUUUAAAAUCCAAUCUAAAAUCCCCCAUUUAUAGUUUUAUUUUCACGUUAGUCUUCUUCUCCUCUCAUACUUGUGCCGCCUAUAGUUCCCCCAACACUCCCAAUCGAUUUUAAAUUCCAAAUUCUAAUUCCGUUUGAUUUCUAUCAUCUCUUAAGUUAUAAAUCUCCAUAGAAGUUAAGAAAAACACUAAAAAACACCAUAGUUUUCUCCAUUGUCAAACUUUCGAGUUUUUCAAAUUUUUGAUUAAAGGCUCAGUUUUUCAUAGGGCGUUAAGGUAACGGUUCAACUCCUAAAUAGUUUUAAAUGUUAUUUAGUCUUUAAAAUUAAGUUUUUAGCCAUUAAAUUGCAUGUUUUGAAUAAAUACUGAAAAUUACCUCAUUAAUGGUGGAUUUAGAGAUUCUAAGUAAAAACAUGGUUUCAAAGUAUUUUUUCAAUUAGUUUUGAUGUAAUUAGAAGGUUUCUAAACUUACUUUGACGUUUCGUUAAAGAAUUCUUGAGUUUUAAUGAUUUUUUAGAAAAUAGCCAUAAAACAUGUCGAAAAAGUCGAUACUAUGAAUUGAGUAUUUUAUUAUAGUUUAAAGGUUAGGAAUUAGUCAUAGGUGAAUUAUAAGAUGAACGAAGUUGGUUUUAGGCGAAAAGAUUGAGUAUAGACAGAGAUAUUUGAGUUUUAAGUUGGCAAUGUUAAAGGUUUCAGUUACAUGAGAACUUAGUUUAGGCUUAUGAUUUUGGAUUGCUUGUGGUGAGUUCUUACCUAAUUAUUGAAUGCAUUGUUGUGUGCAUUGUUGUGUUGAACUUCCGGAUUCAAUAGGACCUUCUAUGAGUAGAGAUAAAGGCAAUGAAAAGCUAGUUUGAGCGCUUGGCUUUUCGACGAAAGCGUAAUUAGUGAGUGUUCGGAAUAAUUGCUUGUGGACAUUAUUCAAUGCAUUAUUUGAGAAUUUAGUAGUAGCCUAAACCCCUACUCUAAAUUCUGAGUGUAAGCUUUCUCAUGCCUAUGUUAUCUUGUGAACUAUCUGCUUAUGUGCUUGUGAAUAUGUGAAUUGAGAUGAGAAGCUAUAACAUGCAAUAUGUGAGUAUGAUAACCGUUGUGAAAGUGCAAAUGUGUUCAUGCUAUGUAUAUGUUAAAUGUUAGUGAUAGUGUUUUGCUAAAGAUGCAAAUAUGCAGUGAUAGUGCACGGAUAAUCGGUAACUGAUAUGUGUCUGAUUUCAAAUAUUUUGGCCUUAUGAUCUUGAAACCGUUAGAUAUAGUUGGCAUGUCAUAGGAUUGUGAGUACUCACCUAUAUGUACAAUUAUUUUGGGCGUUAAGGCCCUAGGACAUGUUGGAGGGAUAAGGGAAUGUGAGCUAAACUCCAUUCAACGAGACAUGUGAGGGGAAAUAAAGAGAGUGUUAGUUUUAUGCUUCACUUUUGGGAUAUGUUUGACUCUAUGAGUCUAUGUGGUGUGCUGGAGAUCCAUGUAUCCAAUGAGUGAUGGUAGAGCUCACUUUUAUGUUUCAUAGCUCAAGUGUCAAAUUAUCUUAAAUUAUGAAUAUGUGUGUAUUGUGAUAUGUGUUUAUAUGACAUGUGACCAUUAUGCAAUUUAUCUAUAACAAGUUUAUAAGUAUAGCGAUAUAUGCUUGAAUGUUAUGUGAUUAUACAAGAAUUGUGUUAUAUGCUUAAAUGUUAUGUGAUUAUAUGUGUGAUGUGAUAUAUGCUUAAACGUGAAUAUGUUUACCAUGUAAAAGAACUAGUAAUAAUGCACGAGUAAGUAUAAUAUGACACUAGAGUUGGAACGGUUGAGGUUAUGCUAUAUGGUUGUUUCGUUGAUGCUUGAUGAAUUGUCUGCAUUGGGGUUAUUUUGAGCAUUUACUGAACUUGUUAAGCUCACCCACUCUUUUCAUAAAACCAUUGCGGAGUAGUAGUGUGUCGGUGUGAGAGAUGUGGUUUCCAAGGGGUGAUCCAAGCAAGUCCGUUUCCAUUUUACCGUAGGUGUUAUUGUUAUUUGUUUAUGUUUUGGGAAUAGGGCAAUGUGGUUGACUUUUAAUGAUAUUUGUCAUGGUCUUUUGGAAAUUUCAUAGCUUAAUUACUCUUAGUAUUUUGAGAAUUGAAUCAUAUUAUCUCAUUUAUCGUUUGAACUUAUUUUUGAUAUUUGAGACUACUAUUACGGUCAUUUUGAUGUUUAUUUGAUGAUAAUAUGAUAGCUUGAUGAAUUGGUACAAGUUAGAAUGACUUAUAUGCUUAUGUAUGUUAUAUUUUUCUUAUCUGAAGUAGAGGUAUCGAUAUUCGUGUUGUAAAAUCGAUACCUCUGUGAUUUUGAAAUGUGCAGGAAGCUAGAAUCGUAAAUUGGCAUCGAUACUUGAGGUAGAAAUAUCCAUACUUUGGAAGAGGUACCGAUAAUUUUCGAGGUUUGGGUUUUUAAGUGAGAAACAGUAAGCAGUUUUGGUAUUGAUUUUCUAAGCUGUAUCGAUACCACUUGAGAGAAUUAUUGAUACCUCACCUUCAAUAUCGAUACCUACGUAAUUAGUUUUGAGAUUUUUACUAAAUUGACCUUAUGCAUGUUUAAUUAUUAUUAUAAGACUAUUUGAUGUAUGUUUAGCAUGUAAAAAUGAUGUUAGAGAGUAUGAUUGACUUAAAACCUAUGCGAACACUAAAAUGAAGGACGUUCCAUUAGAAUGAGCUUUUCCUUGUGUAUAACAUGAGAUGGUGGUGUGGCAUCCUAAUAUUCAGGCUCGGUGACUAGGUUGGGUAUAAGGUGUUACAAUAUAUAUCGAUAAAAAUAACUUUAUAAAUAGAUAAUUAUAAAAUUUGAUUCAUAAAAUAAACAUAUCAAAUAUUCAUAAAUAUCCUAAUUGUUGAUUUGAAAUAGAAAGCUGAUGUUUAAAUGGUAUAGUAUUGUGAUAACGGUAGAUUUAUUUGGUUUUGACAACAUAGAAAAUGAGAGGUUAAUUUGAAACAUGACAACCUGCUCAUGUCAUUAAAAUUGUUAAAUAAAUAAAGCAUGGUUAAUAUGUGAUUAUUUUUCUAGUUACCAUAUUGGAAACUAAUCAAAUAGUAUUUAUAAUUGGAUAGAGUCGGUUUCAAUUAAGCUUUAUACCUUUCAAUUAGUUUGAUUUAUUUUAGUUCUCACCAUGUAUGUUAUUAAGGAGAAUAGUUGUUUUUUUAACAUUAAUCUUAUUAUAGGUUCUUAUCAUAUCUGCUCUUUUUGAUACAAUGUCUAAAACUACCCAUAGUCUCUCUCCAACCCUUAAAUAGGAGGAUAAUGCAUUUCAGUGCACUCAAACCCACGUCCUCCUACACUGAAAACAAUGCCACUGUCAAUUGAACUAAGACUCAGUCGACUAUCAAGAAAAAUAGUUUAGACACUCUCCUAAUAAACAAACUUAGUCGAACAUAUCAUCCAAAUUUACAGGGAUAUUUUUUACAUUAUUUGAAUUUAAAAUUAAGAUUUUCUUUAUUAUACAUUUUGAAUUCAAAUUUAGCAAGUCUAUCCUUGUAACCAUUAUAAAUACCAUAAUAACAGUAACUCUUUUAGUAUGUCGCUAAAGUAGACUUCGCUUUUACUUAUGGUAUCAAAUUUUCCAUACACAAUUACACCAUUUUUUUAUCCUUCCCAUGGCUACCCAAUCAAGCUUACUUCCUCAAAUUAUCUUCUUCUUAAAAAAAGCAAUUUAUCUCAUUCCUUUGUGGGCAACAAUCGAUUCAUCACAUUGAUGUCUCCAAGCCUCUCCUUAAAGACCUGAUAAUACUCCAAAUCUCGACUACAUGUUACUUAUGCUUCAGGACCAAAAACUCAAGUUCACACUCUAAAAAAUAUACUCUUUAUGAUUUGUCUCAGGACAAUGAAUUCAUUAUCACCUAUAUGGAUCAUGCCAAGCGACUAUUUGAUCAGCUUGUUGCACUCGAUGUUUGUUUAGAUUAUAGACCAUUUAUCCACAAUAUUGAAGUAAGGUUAACUUUUAUCUCCUUUGAUGAUUUAUUUGGCUUACCCCUUUCGGAAUAAAUACAACAAAAAGGUUUAAAUGACACUCCAUUCUUUUGCCAUUGCCCACUAUACUGCUUGGCAAAAUGUUGCUGGUGAUACACAAGGUAAAAGCUACGGAAAUAGACGUGGGGGGUUAUUAGUCCAAUUAUGACCAUGGGCAUUCAACUCCCCUAAUAUUAAAACUUUAAUUCUUACUUGUUACAAUAGUUAAAGUCGCAGGCAUACCUCCAAACAAUGUCUAAGCCCUAAAUUUAUUAACUACACUAGUUACUACUCCAAAUUGACAGCCAAAUACACCUCAUCGCUUGCUCCAUCGACCAAAUUGUCACAUUCCAAAAAUCGGGUUAGUGGAUCGAAUACUGGAAUUAGGUUCGUAUUAAUAAUUUGGUAAAAAUAUUGAAGUAAUAAACAUGAUUAAGAUUUAGGUAGGGAAAUUAAAAUUAAGCGUUCGAUUAUUAAUUAAUUUAAAACAGAUUUUGAAUAUGAAGUCGGUUUUGAAAAUAAUUGAUGAAAUGAGUUUUUAAUUAAAUUUGGACUGGUUUGAAAAUAUGUGGAAAUCUAAAGUGGUUAAAAGGGUAAUUGCCCAAUUUUUGAAAAAUGGUUGGCUAUUUAAACACCCAACCGUCACUUUCCCUCUUUUAUCUCUUCCAUUUGAAAUCUCUCUAAAAAUCUCAAUCUAAGUUUUCCUUUCAAAUUAGCCAAACAAGUCAAACUCUCUAACCUCCCAAACACCAAAAUAACCUCCAAUUUCAAAGAAAAAACUAUGAUUUAUCCAACAAUUUUGCCAUUGUUCUUCUUACGUUCAUCCACAAAUUAGAUUCAUAGUUUAUUAUUUUUAACAAAUUGAGGCAACAUUCUAACCUUUUAUGAUCAAACAAAGCAUGUUGUUAAUUCAAUUUGAGUUUUACUUGAUUGUAUGGAGAUUUCAAUAGAUCUAACGUUUUUAAACCAAACUUUGAUUCAAAAAUGGUGAAUCCCGAAAUCAUAAGUAAACCUACUAUUUUAAAGUGAUUUUUGACUCAUUUUGAACUAAUGAGAAGGUGUUUCAACUCAAUUUAAUUGAUUUUUAAUGAAUAUUUAAGAAUCAAACGUUUUCCCUCUUUUAAAAGUUCAUGAGAGCUUGAUUUUUCGGAAAAGUUAAAUUUGACUAGUUAGAUGAAAUUGGCAGCUUAAAUCUAUAACUAAAUCAUAUUUAGGAUGUUUGAAAUUAGAUUUUAGGUUUAGAAAUGAAGAUUUGGCAAGAAAUCUCUUAUUUCGGCAAAAACUAGUUAAUUUUCAGUAGUAAUAAGAAAGUGUGUAGGUCAAUGAUUUUUCUAUGGUUUGGAUGUGAAUAAGGUUGUAAUUAAUGAGUGUGCAAUUUUUUUAUUAUGUAUGCAAAGUUCCAGAUCAAUCGGGAGCUUCUACAAGCAAGGCAAAGGGCAAAGAGAAGUUUACCUAGCCUUUGAUGUUUGAUCGAAAGCAAUCUGAUGAGUGACCAGAAUUGCUGCUUCUAGGCACAAUUCAAAGCAUUAUUAAGGAGCUUAGGUUAGCCUAAACACUUAUCCUAAGUUCUGAGUGUAAGUAUCCUUAUUCGAUCUAUUAUCAUUAUGCAAAUCAAGUAUAUGAGAUGUGAUAUGCUAUGAGAACUAUGAUGGAAAAAGUUUAAGGGGAAAACUAGAGUUUUAAAAAAUUUUCCAAAACAAGAACUUGGUUGUGAUAUCUAAAGUAACAAACACUUAAUCAAAAUUGUACCUUUUCGAUUCGUCUAGGAUGAACGCUUCGACCGAAUAGUCUUCUCUGCUAUCUUGAAGCUCAUGUCUGCCGAGUAUGGGCUCGUUUCCAAUUAGAAAAUUUUCCACAAAAUUACCAAUGGGGUAAUUUCGCAAUUUCUCUAAAAUUCUAGGUCAAGUUGUAAAUAAGAAAAUUAUCUCUAGAAAUCUUCUAAAAUAAUUUCUUCAGAGAAUUUUCUCUCUAUAACUUUCUCUUGAAUUCAAGUCUGUGAAAAGUAAUGAGCCAUAGCUCUUUUUAUAUAAUGAGAGUUUAGAGAGUUUAACUAUGAUUAAACUUAAUCACUUUACUAAUAAAUUAAUCUAAUACUUAUCAAGAUAAAUAUUAGAUUAAAUUUAAUAUAAAAAUAUCACUUUAAUAUAAAAUUAAUAAAAUAAUAUUACGAUACGUAUUAAAUUUAAUUUAAUAUCAAAUAUAUUAAAAUAAUAUUAUUUUUGGAAUAGUUAACUUGAAAUCAAUUGUCUGAUAGAGUCCCACUAGGAGUGUGAUUUCUACACUACUCAACUGCCGAAGGACCACCUGCUGGCCACGGUGGUGCCAUCGCAAGUGCGACACCUUCACAACACCCCAAGUCGGUUUGGCUAUUGUUGGUUCAGUUCGGGCCAAUGACUACCUGACUGGUCCGAACCAGCCACCAGUUGGACCAUCGACCCGAUUCAACUAGUUUCUUGGUCUCGAUCUUGAUUUUGAGUUCUCGGGCUCAAUUUUUGAUCUCAGGUCCAAUUUUCAAGUUUAAUUACUCAUUGGGCCAAUUGUCUUACUUGAAUUAAUUUCAAAAAAUAUCAUAUUUAUUUUAAUUAAUUUGAUUAAUUAAUUUUACUUGAUCAAAAUUAAUUAUCCCAAAAAUCACUUAGAUUUUAUAAAUUAUUUUUUCAAGAAAAUUCUUUAAUCAAAUUCUCUAGUUGAACAAUUCUCACGAUUGCCUAAUUUAAUUUCAUAUCGAAUAAAUCGACUCAAUUAAAUUAUUUCCAAAGUUGUAAAAUUUUAUUUUGAUUCAAAUGCAAUUCGAUCGAACUUUUUUUGAGCUAGCGAAAAGACCAAUUAGACAUACAUAAUUAGGCUCUAGUGAUUGCAAUUAUGUCCAGAAGUAUCGUUUUAAUAAUUCACAUUUACUUAAUAAUUGAUUCAAUCCACAAGAAGUACCAUGAUUGAAAACUCCUUAUCGUACUCUCUUUAUGAAAGCAAUUCAUCCAACAUCUUUGUUCAAUGACCUUGUCAGGUUUGUGUUACCCCCAUAUGAUAUCUUUGAUUUUUUUAGUUAAAUUCAUUCACUCAAUACAUUCCUAUUUUAUCUCAUUGUCACCAUUGUGUCUUCUUAAUGAUUAAUAUGAUCACUGCCAACAAAUGACUGUGAUAAAUUGCUUGUUCAAGAACAAGCAACCCGUGGCCACAUUUCAUAUUUAUCAAUCCACACAAUGCCAAUGAGAGGAUAUUGUCAACUCUGUAAUCGAGUUAUGAAUUUCAUUUAUGACAUAUACAAGUUAUGUACCCAACAUACCGGAUAUGGUCUCGAUCAUAUUUAAAGCAUAAGCCUCCACUUAUAUCAAAACACAUGAGUUACAUAUGCAUAGUCAAUGACUAAUUCAGGAUUUAAGUAAAUCACAUCAUGAACGUCACAAGUGAAUUAAUUCACAAAUGGAUUCAGAAUUAAUUCAACUUAGGUCUAGCCUAAUGUAUCAUUCUUCCAAUGAAUACAUCUAUGUCUCUACCCGAGGAGUCAACUGCUCCGAUAGCCAAGCCUAGCCAUCUCCCCGAUUGAAAUUUUAGAUCACAUAAUAAUCCUUUUAAGUUUUUGAAUCAAAUGCUCACUUUGAUUUUUUUACGAGAUUACAGACUCAUUUAGAUUAUCUAUUGAAGUAAGUUGUCUUUCUUGCAAUAUAAACAUUCUUACAAUUCCACUUAUCAUCAGUUUGAACUUAGACAAUAAAUGAGCUAACAUUUUCUUGUCAUAAUUUCACUAUGCAUGCAAAACAUGAAAGCCAAAAACACAAAAGACAUAAUAGUGAAAUGUGAAAUUAACUUUAUUUAUUUAUUCAUCAUUCAAAUACAUAAAAAAUAAUUACAUGUUUACUACAAUAUGGUCACAUUUUUCAACAAAUUAUCAUGAAAUUUUAAUGAAAAUGUUAUGUGAUUAUGACUGAAUAUGAUAUGAGCUUGUUGGUAUUUAUGCACAAAAUAUGAGAUCAAUCUGAUAUGGCUCUUUGAGCAUUAUGUAAGCACUUGAAAAUGCCUUAUAUGAGAUUUGAUUAAGUGAUAUGGAUAUGUGUUAUACGAUAUGUGAAACUGUGCAUAAAACAAUAAGUACAUGUGUGUUUAAAUGGAUAUGUUAAACUUGUGAUCUUUUGGAACCAUUGGAUAUCAUUGCAAUGCCAUAGAAUUGUGAGUACUCACCAUUAUUUGCUUAUGUAUUUGGGCAUUAAGGCCCCAAGAUUGGUUUGGAGAGAUAAGGAAAUGUUAAGCUUAGCUCCAUUAAAUAGGACUGGUUGAUGUUUGGAGAGUGUUAGCUUCAUUCUACACUUUUAUGGGACUAGUACAGACUUUAUGAGUCAUUUGUUGUGUUGGGAGAUCCGCUUAUCCAAUGCAUAUAUGUUUAUACAUGUUUCUUAUAAAUGUGAUAUCAAUGUGAUUGAUAGGAGUUAUGCUUAAUGCUAUCCAUGAGUGAAUGAUAUAGUAUACUUUCUUAUAACCUUGAUAUUGUGGGUUAUUUGUGGCCAUUUUGAGCACUCACCGAGCUUGUAAAAGCUCACACUUUUAUGUAUAUUUUACAGAUAAAUAUUUGGUUUUUUGGAGGAGAAUUGAGUCAUCCAAGUGAUCCAAAGCAAGGCCAAACUUUUUUGAGUAUGUGUUGUGUUUUCUACUUCAAUAAGGAAGGCAAUAUAGGACCUUAAUUGGGGAGUUAGGCUUUGAUAUUUUCUUAGGUUGUGAUGGCCAUUUUAAGGACUGUUUAUAGACUUUUAUAAAUGGCUUUUGGUCAUUGAUUGCUUGAGAAUGUUGAUUUUGAAUAUGCAUGUUAUAAUGGUUUGAGUUGCAUGAAUAAUGAUUCGUAUGCCUAUAGGUGAAUAAUGAUAAAGAUGUUUUUAGUGCAUGUUGGAUAUUGUAGCAAGUUUUAAAUGAAUUAUUGGUAUGAAAUAGACAUUUGGUGCACAUAAAAAUGAUGGUAAUGUAAAAUCGGUAUGCUAAGUAAUUGAUUUAUGAAGUUAGGAAUUGCAUGCUAGCAUAACUACUUACCUUGGAUGUCAAAUUGUGUGUUGGUAAGUUUUGAAGUGUGUGAGCAUACGUAAUACGAUCUAUGUAUGUUAUAUGAUAUGUUAGAUUAGAGAAAUUAGGCUAAGUGCACGAAUUGGUAUGCUUGGAAAUGUGACAAAGUGUCAUAUGUAGUUUUGGGAUGUUUUCUGCAAAAAUCGGAGACGACGUUGGAAUACAUCGUGACGAGGGAUCGACAUCAGGACGAGGAAUGUUACAUGGUCACGACCUGACAUACUGAGUGAUUGAGCCAUGUUUUUAUAGUUUUGCAAUAUAGUCCUAAUUUUUAUGUUAUAUAACUGGAGUCCUUAAAUGCAAUGAAAUGACUUGAAAUUUUUCAUGAUUAAGUCCUCUUUGGUUAAUUUCAUAAUUUUACUUUUGGUUUUAUAGAAAUAUUUUUCAAAUUAUUUUACUAAACUUACGAAUUAAUCUUUAAAUUUUUGUUUUGUAGUUAAAUGGAUACUUCUUAUCGUUUUGAAUUGUUUCUUUUAAAUAUAGUCUACGUUCAAAUGCUUUAAAUUGUAUGUAUGCUUCACUUAUUGAGUUAUGUAUGAUUUGUAUAUUGCAUGAGAAAAGACGAAUUUGUUUAUUGAUGAGAGUAGCACAACAAAAGCAUGAUUUAGAGUUUAUAUGUUUACCCUAGACUAUAUUAUUGAUGUUUAUGCAUUUAAAUUUGUUGCGUGAAUAUUGUGAGGUGUGAACGGUGGUUUUCUGGUGUGUUCGGUGGUUGGUAAGAAAUGUCAUGUAAGUGGCUACUGUGACGUUCUGGAUUCAGGUUGGACCAUCCUGGCCAAGUUUGGGGCACCACACAAACCAUGGAUCAUUAACACUAUGUCACAUCCCAAAAAUCAAGUUAGUAAAUCGAGGGUUAGUGAACUAAAAAUUAGGUUAGGUUAGAUUAUUAAAAUAAAUAAGAAUAAAUAAAAUAAAAUAUUAAAAUAAUUAGAAUUUUAAAAAAUAGGUUAGGAAAUUAAAAUUAGGUGUCCGAGAAAUAAUUUGGUUAAAACAGAUUUUAAAAACGAGAUCGAAUUUGAAAAUAAUUUAGGAAAUGAGUUUUAAUUGAAAACAAUGACUAAUUUGAAAAAGGGAAGAAAUUGGAGGUAGUUAAAAGGGAAAUUGCCCAAUUUUUAAAAAUUAGUUGCCUAUUUAACAACCCCCAUCGUCCGUUCCCUCUCAUUUCUCACCUCAUUCAAAAAUUUCUCAAACAUCAAAUUAAAGCUUUUCUCUCAUAACUGAUUCAUCCUCUUUAAUUUUCUAGCCCUCCAAACACAAGUUUUGUUUUCAAUUUUAAAGAAAACUCGUCUUUUCUCCUUCAAUUUCAUCAUUGUUCUUAGCACGUUUUAGCUCGAGUUUGAUCCUCAACUUUUUUAUUUCUUCAAAUUGAGGUAACACCUGACUUCUUAUGAUCAAACUAACACUUCCUUUGGUUCAAUGUUAUUGCAAAGCCAUUACGGGACGGUUCCAGAUUCUACAAUAAAGUAGAGGUUUGGUUCAUUGGAAAGUUUAAAAUGCUGAAUGGCAAUUACAGCUUCAUUCUGAAAAUCAUUGAAUAGCCAUUCAGGGGAGAAAGUUUCGAAUUGGCUAUUCCAGCCUCUCUAUCGAAUGACACUUCUUUUCCCCUCCGAAAACACCCUUAGACUGAAAUUUCUCAAUAGUUUCACUUUUUUUUCUUUGGCCAUCAAUAAUCUCACGCUCAACCUAAAAAGAAGCAAAUCAAAUUGAAGGCCAAAGGCUCACACUUUGUUUACCACUCCUCUGUAAUCCCAACCCAUCACUGGAAUUGCCUGGUGCUUACCAAGGCCCUGCUUGUUUUGAUGGUAAGGUUUUUUUCUCUCUUGAAUAGAAAAGUAAAUCAAUGACUUAUAGUUGUAUUCAUCAAGGAGUUAUCCAUUAUCUACAUGGCUCAAAAACAAAAUUGAUAAAUUGAAACUUUCAGGUUUCAUUUUCCUUUUCUAGGUUGCCAUCUUAUUUUACUAAAUAUUUGAAAUUUAAAAAGGUUGAAUUUUUUUCUAGGUUCAAAAUGAAGAGCUUUUUCAUUAAGUCAUGGGUUUUUAAUUUGCAGAACUCCCUAUAUUAAAUGGACACAAAAGUUGGGUAAACAAUCACUGAGCAUUUCCAGAGUUGUUGAGAAGUGGGUCUAAGAUUGAAUUCAAUUUAUCAAAAUCUUGAAUUAGAAGUCCAAAGAUACUAAAUUUUUUAGGGUGUAAGAAACCAGUGAAGAAGGCUGGAAAGAACGAGCAUCACUUGUGGAAGAAAAGAGAUUUAGCUGGCUUUGGACAAAAGGCACUCAAUCUUGUUAGAAUUGUAAGUUUAAUUUUCUUAUUUUUUUUUAUAUUGGGUAUAGUUUUUAGUUAUAGUAUGUAUUUAGUAUUUGAAGUUUAAUUUCAAUUUUUAAUAAUGUUUGUGUUGCAUUUGUUUUGUGAUUCCACUAUUACUGUAUUCCCACUAAUUGAAAUCUAUUUUGUACUAAUGUUGUUGGAAUUAUUCUAUUAUUUACUGAGAACCCAUUUUGUUGAAAUUUUAGGAGCCAUUUUAUUUUUUUUCUAUAUAAAUUAGGGCUAUUGUUACUUCUGCAACCAUGGAAGACUUUUGCUACUCAUCAAUAACACCAUUUGCAGCUUGAACAAAACUUCUUCUAUCCUGCGGGUGGCUGCUUAAACCAAACUUGAUUUAUUUUGUGCAUCACUUUUGAUUGCAAUCGAUUGCUUUUUUCCAAGCCUAAUUUAUAUACAGUUUUAGUUGUAAUGAUUCUUAGGUUUGAUUGACUAUAUGAUUAAUUUGGUGCAGCGGAUACAAUAUGCAAAGACAAAGCCAUAUUGUAUCACCAAAAAUUAUGGAAGCUUUGUUCCCAAACAAGAAGAAAAAGAAAGAAUAAAAAUGUGACAACCUGCGUUUUAGUUCUUUGAAUUGAUAUAUGCAUAAUGCAUAGUCUUGAAAAUUUUUCUUUAUUCUUUUCUCAAAGAUUAAAAUUUACUUCUAGAUUCUUCUCACAAGUUACGUGUUUACUGUUCUGUUUAUUCUCAAUCUUUAAUUCAAAGUUUUAUUUAUUUUUCUCAAAAUGUUAAAUAAAUUCUUCUAUCAGAAGGAUCUGUGUCUUGUGCUUUGAAGUGAGCAUUUAGAUUAGGGUCUUUGUAAUUGUAGAAUGCUAGGUUUAACUUGUAACAAUACUAAGACAGUGGGCUUCUUUUUUAUAUAUCAUGUAUGUUUUUUUUUCUGCAGUUUCCAUAACCAAUCAGGAAACUACGGCCCUCAAAAUGUUGAGGGAAAACAGGAGCAGAUAUGACUUGGUUAUUACUAGUGUUAACAUGCCAGACAUGGAUGCCUUUAAGCUUCUUGAACUCGUGGGACUUGAAAUGGACCUACCUGUAAUCAGUAAGUAUUAACCCUUUUUUUUUUCAUUUUAUGGCACUAAAUUAUUCCCAUUUUAUUUUGCUCUUUCCCCUCUAUUUUCGUUUGAAUUAUUUGUGGAAUGAAAGAAAAAAAAUUGGGUGAAGUUUGAUGGUUUUAUAAACCCAUAAUUAUUCUAGAUCUAAAUUUGAUUAGUAGAUUAGAAGUGUUUGAGAAUGAUUUACCAUAUUUUCUUAUUCUUAAUGAAAUUCCAGUGUUGUCAGCUCAUGGCCAUACAAAGCUUGUAAAGAAGGGGAUUACUCAUGGCACUUGUGACUACUUAUUGAAGCCAGUUUGUAUCGAUGAGCUAAAAAACAUAUGGCAACACGUUGUGAGAAAAAAAAAUUGACUUCAAAGAUCACAUUAAUGCACUGAAUCAAGAUAACAAACAAAAAGAUUAGGAUCCCUCAAUCCAAGAAAAGCCUCGAGUUGUUUGGUCUGUAGAGGUGCAUCGGAAGUUUGUUUCAACUGUCAACCAAUUGGUCUUCAUAGUGAGAUUUAUGUUGUUUUGAUUGGAGUCUCUUACUAUGACACAGCAUACCAGGUUCAUUUUUAGUUUUAACAUUCAUUUUUUCUUUAUUUAAAUGAUUUAGAGGAUGUUCCGAAGAAAGUUCUUGACCAUGAAUGUUGAUGGCUCACAAGGGAAAAUGUAACAAGCAAUCUACUAGUUUUAGUAGAGUGUUUUGUUACCAUUUUACUCCUUUUUAGAAUUAGCACAUUGUUAAUGAAGUUAUUGCAACUUCAAUUCAAGCUUUUGUGAAAGUUAGAGUGGGCCAUACACAUGGGAGAAUUGCAUAUACUUGAAGUAUGAACUUUUAUAAAAGUGUGCCGUAUUUAAGCUUACUAUCUUAUGUUGUCCUAUAGAAAUAUAGGCUUUGCAUAGGACUCAACAGUGUUGCUCCAUUAGGCAGUAAAGAUUCGUCUUACUUGCGCAGGGGUCCACUAGACGGCUUUGGAUAUCUUCGCAUAUUGACUAGACCGGGAAAGAUUUCAAGUGCCUUUCUGCCAUAUUAUCAACUAGGUGGAAUGUUUGGGAUUCUUAACUCUUCAAUUGAUUUAAGCCCACGUGGGAUUUAUUCUAGCGUAAUUCAACCUAGACAUUCUCAAACAUCGAACAAUCCUAUCAAUGGUUCUAGGAAGAUCCAACCAGCCGUGGUACCAACAAAUUAGAAUCAAGAUGGAACUUUGUUUCAAGGGAUCCCAACAUCGAUAGAUCUCAAUUAAUCGUCGCAGAACAAGCCAACAAAGGGUUGUGGAGAAUUUAAUCACGUUAAUGAUCUGAACUUCCAAGAUGCCAGAGUGGCAGUUGGUGGCUCGUGUAAUACUCUACCUGUUUCCUCAAGCAACCCUUUGUUGUUACAAUCAAACACACAACAAACAAAACAUAGUGGUGCAUUUGGAAAUCAAUUAUCCCUUAGUACCAACCUUCUUGAUCUUUAUUCUUUCAAGGCAAUGUCAGCAAAUUUGGAGGACUUUAAAGGAGACAUCUCUAAUGUUGGUCUAAAUAAUUAUGUCAUUUUGAAUAUGGAUUACGCAACAAAGCAACAAUGGGGAGAUAGCAGGCAUGAUUAUAAUGGCAAUACGAAUCAUUCAUUCAGUCAAGCGAAUGCCUAAUGACUCGAUCAAUUAAGAAGUCUCUAAUAUGAAUUAUUAGUUAUUUUUCGAAUGUCAUCAAAGUCUUUCUAGAGUGGCAUAACACAAAUUGAUGAUUGUGAUGUGUGCUUGUAAUGUAAUUGUUGGAUGUAAAAUAUAAUUAUUUUUACAAAAAUAAAAACAUAAUGCUUUUAAAAAAAUAAUUAUAUUAAAAAUUUUAUUACAAAAAUAAAAACAUAAUUAAUAAAUUAUAUAUUUUAUUAAAUUAUAUUUAAUAAUAAUUAUAUUAAAAUAUGAUUAAAUUAUUUAUUUUUAUUUUUAUUUUUAUUAAAUUAUAUGUAAUAAUAAUCCAAUUAAAAUUUAAUAACAAUAACAAUAAUCAUCUACUUAAAAUUUUUUUGUUAAGGGUGCUUUGGUCAUUUCAAUUUUUUUCAUAUUCUAUUACAAUCUUUAUUCCAUUCAAGCAAACACAAGAAUACUAUUACAGUUCUAUUCCAUUCCAUUCAACCAAACAAUUGAAUUAUUGAUUACAGCUCGAUUUUGUUACAUCUAUAUUACAGCUCUAUUCUAUUAUAGCUCUAUUACAUUACAACCCUAUUCCAUUCCAGUUAACCAAACGUGGCGUAAGUAUGUUGUUAUUUCAAUUCGAGUUUUAAUUGAUUUAAUCAAUAUUUCACUAGAUCUAAUAAUUUUAAACUGAUUUUUUGCAUGAAAAUGGUAGAUCUCGUAAUAGUAAGAUAAGUUACUAUUUUAAAGUUAUUUUCAACUCAUUUUGAUUUAAUUAAAAUUUUUCUAAACUUAAUUUAACAAAUCCUUAAUGAAUUGGACGUUUUCCCCUAUUUAAUAUUCAUACAAUCUUAAUUUUUUGAAAAAGUUAGAUCUAAGUAAUUUAAUGAAAUUGAUAGUUUAGAUUUGUAAUUAAAUGAUAUUUAGGAAUUAUGAAAACAAAGUUAAGGAUUAGAAACGAGAUUUGAGUGUCGAGACUUCUAUUUUGGCAAAACUAGCUAGUUUUUUUGUAUUAUGAAUGAAAAGCUUAGAUCUGUGAUUCUAGAAUGAUUUAAUUGUGAAUUAUGUUGCUUGUAAUGUAUACGCAUUGUUUUUUAUGUGUAACCAAAGUGCCAAAUCAAUUGGGAGCUUAUACAAGUAAGGACAACGGCAAACAAAAGCUUACUUGAGCUUUUUUCAUGGAAGCAAAUGUUGCAAAGGUGAGUGAACUAGUGUGCUAUAAUUAAUGCUAAAAUCAAAGUGUUAAAUGGGAGCUUAGGUAGCCUAAUCACCUUUCCUAAGUUCUAAGAGUAAGUUUUCUUACUUGAUCUAUGAUACAGUUUUCUUACUUGAUCUAUGAUACUUUGCAAAUAAAUCUUACAUGUAAUGUGAUAUGCUUAAGUGUGUAAUGUGAUUAUAUGUGUUGAGUAUACGUCUGAACAUACCUUAUGAUCAGUUGGUUUUAUGGACACACAUCUAAUAUGAAAGUUUAUGUGGCUCAAUUAGCAAAGUGAUUGCACUUGAAGUGCAUUGCAUGAACAUGUGGCAAGUGUUUGAUCAUGAUAAGCAUGAUAAUUGUAAGUGUGCAUAAACCAAAAAUGAAUGUGUGAUAUGGAUAUAUUAGCCUUGUGAUCUUUUGAAAACAUUGGAUAUAGUUGGCAUGCCAUAAGACUUGAGUAUUCAUAUAUGUGUUUUGAUAUUGGGACAUGUUGGAGAGAUAAGAGAAUGUGAGCUAAGUAUUGAAAAUCAUCCAUAUUUAUAGAAAGUCAAAGAUAUGGGUAUCAGAAAGAUAUAGGUAUAAGAAAGAUAUGGGUAUCAAAAUCUGAUAUUUAAGGCACCAAAAGUGGGAUUGAGAUUUGGCAUAAGAUAAUUGCAAUUUUGAUCCCUGAACCUCAACUAUAAAUAGGCCUAACCAUUUCUCUUCUUUAUUAUCCCAAAUUUUCCAUUCUCUACUUAAGGCAUUGUUUUCUCUCUCUCUCUUUGUAAAUUCUCACUUGUAUUUUGGAGUGAAAUAUAUUUGGUAGUGCUUGAGGACAUAGGCAAAAUUUGCUGAACCUCGUUAAAUUCUUGUGUUAUUUGUUGUAUUAUUCUGCAUGAAUUGUGAGUGUGAUUGUAGUGAUUUAUUGUGCUAUUAAAUUACGAUUGAGGGAUAUUCUGGCUAGGAAAAACCUGGUACUUAAGCGAUCCUUGUGAUCCACCUCUCUUUCCUAGGAAUUGAACUUAGUGUGAUUUUUUAGUACAAUAAUUUUACUCUUUUACACGCUUCCGCACAAUAAUUGGUAUCAUAGCUAGAUUCGUACUUGGGGAAUACGAUCGUUCACGGCACUGUUCACGUACAAUAGUUAGGAUUGAGGAGAAAAAUGGAAAAGGCAUCGUCAUCAGCAAAGACUACUGUGACCAAUACAAAAUUUGAAGUAGAGAAAUUUGAUGGUACUAAUAAUUUUGGUAUGUGGCAAUGUGAGAUCCUGGAUGUCUUAUGUCAGCAAGAGCUAGAUAUAGCCCUUGAGAAAAACCUGACAAGAUGGAUGACAAGGAGUGGGAUAAGAUCAAUAGACAGGCAUGUGGAACAAUUCGCCUAUGUUUGGCCAAAGAGCAGAAGUACUCUGUCAUGAGGGAGACAUUAGCGAAGAAGUUGUAGGAUACACUGGAAGAAAAGUUUCUAACAAAAAGUCUUGAAAAUAGGCUUUAUAUGAAAAAGAAACUUUAUCGAUUCACGUAUGCACCCGGUAUGUCGAUGAAUGACCAUGUGAACUAUUCAAUAAAAUUUUAGCAAACUUGCUAAAUUUGGAUGAGGAAUUUGAAGAUGAAGACAAGGCAUUACUGUUGUUGAAUUCUCUUCCUGAUGAAUAUGAUCAUCUUACCACCACAUUGCUUCAUAGGAAGGAUACAAUCACAUUUGAUGCAGUCUGUAGUGCGUUGUAUAGAUCUGAGACUCGAAAGAAAGAUAAAAAAGAUCACAGUGAUACAAAUACAGAAGUCUUAACAGUAAGAGGUCGUUCGCACAGCAACAAAUCUGGUAGAAGAAGUAAGUCCAAAGGGAGACUUGCAAAAGAUGAAUGUGUUUUUUUUCGUGAGAAAGGGCAUUGGAAAAGGAAUUGUCCUAAGUUACAAAAAGGCAAGGCUAUUUCUAAUGCAUGUGUAGCGGAGCAUGAUGAUGAGUCAGACUUUAGCUUGGUUGGCAUGGCAAUGGCAUGUCAUACAGAUGAGUAGAUUUUGGAUUCGGGGUGUACUUACCAUAUGUGUCCUAAUAAGGACUGGUUUUAUUAGUCUUAAAGAACUAGAAGGUGGAGUUGUUUUUAUGGGCAAUGACAACGCUUGUAAGACAAUGGGAGUAUGUACAAUCCAAUUAACGAAUCACGAUGGCUUAAUUCAAGUCUUGAUAGAUGUUCGCUACAUACCUAGCUUGAAGAAAAAUCUCAUCUCAUUAGGGGUCCUAGAAUCUAAAAGGCUCACAAUCACUUUGAGAGAUGGAUUACUAAAGGUAGUAGCUGGGGUAUUGACGGUGAUGAAAGGCACAAGAAGGAAUAACUUGUACUAUUUAAAUAGAAGUACAGUUAUUGGAUCAACAUCAACAGCUUCUGCGAAAGAUACAGAUUUAGAGGCUACCAGCUUAUGGCAUAUGCGAUUGGGACAUGCUGGUGAAAAAGCUUUGAAGAGUUUGGCGAAGCAAGGCUUGUUGAAAGGUGCAAAUUCUUGUAAAUUGGAAUUCUGUAAACAUUGUGCUCUGGGCAAGAUGACGAGGAUAAAAUUUGGUUCAGCAAUUCACAAUACAAAAGAAAUUCUAGACUACGUUCACAGUGAUGUGUGGGGACCUACUAAAGUGGCUUCUUUGGGAGGUAUGCACUAUUUUUUUACUUUUGUUGAUGAUUAUUCAAGAAGAGUAUGGGUGUAUCUAAUGAAAAGGAAAAAUGAAGUUUUGGAAGCAUUUCUGAAAUGGAAGAAGAUGGUGGAGACCCAGACUAGUCGAAAGGUCAAACGACUUCGAUCAGACAAUGGUACUAAGUACAAGAACGAUCCACUUCUACAAGUAUGUCAAGAUGAGGGCAUUGUGCGACACUUCACUGUUCGAGAUACACCACAACAGAAUGGGGUAUCAGAAUGUAUGAACCAGACUAUACUGGAGAAAGUUCGAUGUAUGUUGUCAAAUGCUGGAUUAGGCAAGAAAUUCUGGGCUGAGGCAGUUACAUAUGCUCGCCAUCUAAUUAACCGGUUGCCAUCAGCUUCAAUAAAUGGAAAAACUCCUAUGGAGAGGUGGGCAGGUAAACCUGCUACUGAUUAUGAUUCUUUACAUGUUUUUGGUUCCACUGCAUAUUAUCAUGUAAAAGAAUCUAAGUUAGACCCAAGAGCAAAGAAAACAUUAUUCAUAGGUAUAACUGGUGGAGUAAAAGGAUACCGUCUCUGGUGUCCUGAUACAAGGAAGAUUGUUUUCAGUAGAAAUGUGACUUUUGAUUAAUCAACCAUGAUGAAGAACAAGGAUUCACAAAAGGAUAACAAAACCAGUGGCACUCUACAGCAGGUGAGCUUGAAAAGGUUAAUAAUGAUCCAGCUAAUAUUGAAGUAACAAAAUGAUGAAGAAUUUUCGACCUAAGAACUUCUACAGCAACAUGAUUCAAUUGCAUAUAGGAGGCCAAGAAGAGAGAUUCGUAUGCCUGCUUGCUUUGAUGAUAUGGUGGCCUAUGCACUUCCAAUUGUAGAUGAUGAUAUUCCUUCUACUUACACAGAAGCAAGAAGUACCCUGAUGGUGUAAAGUGGAAGCAAGCUAUGAAUGAAGAAAUGCAGUCUCUUCAUAAAAAUAGGUCUUGGGAGUUUGUGACACUACCCAAAAGAAAGAAGGCAAUUGGAUACAAAUGGGUAUAUGCAAAGAAGGAAGGAUUUCCUGGUAAAAAUGAAGUUCGAUACAAGGCUAGAUUGGUAGCAAAGGGUUACGCUCAGAAAGAAGGAAUAGACUACAAUGAAGUGUUUUCUCCAGUUGUGAAGCAUUCGUCUAUUCAGAUUUUGCUAGCCUUGGUUGCGCAAUAUGACCUUGAACUAGUUCAGCUCGAUGUGAAGAUUGCAUUUUUACACAGUGAUUUGGAAGAGGAAAUCUAUAUGACUCAGCCAGAUGGAUUCAAGGUUGCUGAUAAAGAAAAUUGGGUUUGCAAACUGACAAAGUCACUUUAUGGAUUGAAACAAUCUCCGCGGCAGUGGCACAAGCGAUUUGAUCAGUUUAUGAAAGGGCAUGUUUAACAGUUGAAGAAAGCACUAUCAAGUGUUGUUGAAAAAUAUAGAGAGAAUUGUAUGAAGAUAAGAUUAGUCGAAUCAAAUCUUCAAGGUAGAGAUUAUUGGAAAUCAUCCAUAUUUAUAGAAAGUCAAAGAUAUAAGUAUCAGAAAGAUAUAGGUAUCAGAAAGAUAUGGGUAUCAAAAUCUGAGAUUUAAGGCACCAAAAGUGGGAUUGAGAUUUGGCAUAAGAUAAUUGCAAUUUUGAUCCCUAAACCUCAACUAUAAAUAGGCCUAACCAUUUCUCUUCUUCAUUAUCCCAAAUUUUCCAUUCUCUACUUAAGGCAUUGUUUUCUCUCUCUCUCUUUUUGUAAAUUCUCACUUGUAUUUUGGAGUGAAAUAUAUUUGGUAGUGCCCGAAGACGUAGGCAAAAUUUGCUGAACCUCGAUAAAUUCUUGCAUUCUUUAUUGUAUUAUUCUGUAUGAAUUGUGAGUGUGAUUGUAGUGAUUUAUUGUGCUAUUAAAUUAUGAUUGAGGGAUAUUCUGGCUAGGAAAGACCUGGUACUUAAGCGAUCCUUGUGAUCCACCUCUCUUUCUUGGGAAUUGAACUUAGUGUGAUUUUUUAGUACAAUAAUUUUACUCUUUUACACACUUCCGUACAACACUAAGCUUCAUUCAAAGGGGCAUGUUUGGUGUAUUAGAUAUUGUUAGCUUAAUGCUCACUUACUUGGGACAUGUUAGACUCUAUGAGUCAUUGGUGUGAUGGAGAUUCGAGUAUCCAAUGUGCUAUAUUUUUAUACAUAUUUCAUAAUCACAAGAUGUCAAUAUAUCAUCAUGAUUAAAUGAUUAAUGGUGAUAAGUGUUAUCGGCUUUCUAGUCUUGUUUUUAACCCUUGAUAUUGUAGUUUAUUAUAGCAUCUUGAGCACUCACUGAGCUUGUUUAAGCUCACACUCUCUUGUGUUUAUUCUUUUGUAGAGAAAUAGCUUGUGUGGAGUUGUGAAGUGAACAAGCUUGUGAUCCUAAGGCAAAGCAACUUGAUUGUAUAUGUGAAAUGGUUUUCUUAGGUAAUAAAGAAUGGCAAUGUGGGAACAUUUUUAAGUUUUAGACUUUAGUUUUUGUUUUGGUUUGUAAAUGGACAUUCCAUGGACUAUUUAAGGACUUUUAUAACUGGUUUUUGGAUGCUUUUAUUGCUUGGAUUGUUGCAUGAAUGAUGCUAGAUGAAUGGUUAGGUUAUAUGUGGAUUAGCAUGCAUGUGCCUUAGUGAAUUGUGGUUACAGAUGCUUAAAUGAUUGGAUGAAUGCUUGGACAAAUGCAAAAUGGCCAAAGGGCAAGGUAUGGACCUAUAUUACACUUAAAAUUUCCUUAUAUGCAAAUUUGGUAUGUUGAGUAGAUUGAAUUGGGACUUUAGAAAAGCAUGCUAGCACAGGUAAUUGGAUUGGAUGCCAAAGUAUGUUCAUGUAUGAUCUUGUGCAAUUGAGCAUGAUUUAUAUGCUCUACGUAUGCUAUAUGACAUGCUAGAAUAAGGAAUUUGGCAUGAAAUCAUGAAAUGGUAUGUAUAGUUGAGAGUCAAAGUGUCAAAUCUAAGUUGCUAUAAUUUUUCUGCAAAUACUCUAGUCAAUGUCAUGACGAGCCAUAAACAACACCGCGAUGAAGGAUUGUCGUUGGGACGCCAUUUAUCGCGUCAUCAGGACGAAAAAGGGUCUCUAGGUCACAUCGCGAUGAUAGUGACAGAUGAAGCAUGACUUAAGGUUGUAUGUUUAUUUUUAAUGGCUAAUUGAAUAAUAUGCAUGUAUUGUAUGGUGUGAAUGGUGGUUCAUGUGGUGUGCUUUUGUGGCCAAUAAGGAGAGUCAUGUAAGUGGUUAAUGUGACAUUUCAGAUUUGGGUCGAACCCUUCCGACUGGGUUUGGGAUGCCACACACUGGAGUAAUCCAUCACUUGACUUCUAAAUUAGAAAAUACAGGCAUUCACUCUAAAUAUUCAGGCAUUGACAAAGUGGCAUUCACCAAUGGUAAAAGCUUACCCAUAACUCAUAUUGAUUCUAGUGAUAUUUCUCUCAAUUCUCGAAAGUUUUUGUUAGAUAUUAUGCUUCAAGUUCCAAAAUCUAACAUAAUUUUGUUAUUUGUUUGUUAGUUCACUAACUCUAAUGAUGUCUUUAUCGAAUUUUUCUCAAUUUUUUUUGAUUAAAGACUGGAAAAUGAAGCAGCCACCCCACCAUGGAUACAUUAAAGAUAGACUCUAUCAUUUAGUUUCAAGUCUAGUUUCUCUAGCUUCCCAUUCAGUUUCUUUGUUCCGUUGGCAUGCCAUAAGCUAUCAUUUCAUUAUUUCGAUUAUCAAGCAAAAGAACCAUUAAAAUUAAUCUAUCUGAUUUAUGCAGUCCUUCAUUAGUUACUUCUUUUGAUUUUUUUACUAUUUUUUAUCAUUAUUCUAAGUACACAUGGAUUUAUUUUUUUCAUCAUAAAUAUGAUGUUUUCAACUAUUUUGUUAAUUUUCGAGCUAUAGUUGAGUUUUUUUUUGUUUUGUUAAAUCCAUUAAACAAUUUCAGUCAGAUAGGGGAGGGAAAUAUCAAGGUCUACAACACUACCUUUCCUAAAAUGUCAUUCUACAAAGAAGCUCUUGUUCAUAAACACCAAAAAAAAUAAAUAUGUUGAACAAAAACACUGACACAUUAUAGAAACAGAUCGAGCUUAUCUUUACAAAUCCUCUAUACCACCAAAAUAUUGGGAUCAUGCUUUUGCCAUUGUUAUUUAUACCAUAAAUCGCUUACCCACUCAAAAGCUAAAGUGCAAAUCACCUUAUCAACAAAUUUUUCAACAUAACCUGGAAUAUAACUUUCUUCAUGUUUUAUUGUUGUUGUCGUUAUUAUUUAUGGCUUCAUCCUUAUACUAAAAAUAAACCCAUCUUUCUUGUUAUAAUCUUCUUCAUAAUGGUUAUAAAUGUUUUUCAAUACCUACCAAUGAAGUUUUUUGUCAUAUUUGAUGAACAAGUGUUCCCAUUCAAAGGAAAUGAUGGGCAACCUUCAAUUCUCAGUCCACCACCAUCACCAAUUACUAUUUUUCUCUUGUACAACCUAUUAAGUCAAUGGAAUCCCAACCAACACCAAAUAUCACGCCUACUACACAAUCGAGAGACUUACAAACAACACCAUCAACAAGUCCUUUCUUUUCUCCUACCAAUAACACCACUACAAAUCCACCAUCUUCCUCAAUAUCCCAACCACUCCUUAAACGUACAAAUGAAUUUUCAUCCUACACAGACCACAAUAUAAAUGCUCAAACCCAACACUCCAUGAUUACUAGAUCCAAAAUCGACAACUUGAAACCCAAACUCUUUCAUACUACACUCACUUUUAUCGUUUCUCUAUGCAUAUAUAAAAAAGUAGCCAAACAAAAAAUUUGGCGUCAAGCAAUGUCAGAGGAAAUAGAUGCUGAUGGUUACUAAACUAACUAAAAAUAUGACAAAGGCAAGUGCACCUAUCGAAUAACAGUAUAGCUAUGGUGAGUAGGGAAUAUCAUAUCGACGAGGACUAAAAGUACUAGUAAUUACUGUCUUUUUAUUAUCUAGCCGACAAAUUGGGGUGAUGUGUUUUAAUCUAAAAUUACUAAACUAAUUUAUCUAAUAACGCAACAGAGAAUGAAAUAGGAAAAUAAUCGAAGAUAACCAAUGAGAUAGACAAUACUCAGGAAAGAAUCCACCUAGACUUCACCUAUUAUUAUGAAUCUGAAUUAAACAAUUUAUUCACUUGCUGCUUGAUCCAUAGAAAUCCCUAAAUUGUGUUAAUAUCUUUUUUGAUAGUAAGAACAACAGACUCUAGGUUGAUUAAUUGAAGUCUCUUUCUAAUUAAAACCUCUAUCGUUGCAUUAACUCGAUCUAUGGUUUCCCUUAUUAGAUUUGACAUUAAUCCAGUAGAUUUAUGUCGUCCUAUUCUUAGGAUUGCAUGCAACUCCAUUGAAUUAUGCUAGAUCUACUCUUAAAUAGGGACUUUUGCUCCACUGAAAUAAGCACAUUAAACAUGAAUUAAUAUCCUGAAAAUAUUAAAACACGAAAUAAGCAUACAUAAUUGAGAACAAGAAUCAAGUAUUUAUCGCGUAAAAACAUAAAUUAAAUAAGAGCAUUCAUCAUAGGCUUCAUCCUCCCUAGGUAUCUAAAGAAUUUAUUUCGUAAUCCUGAAUAGAAACAUCUCAAAGUUAGGAUCACCGCAAGACAUAAAGAAACUCAAUAAAAAUUCAAAAUAAAUUAAAUGGAGAUCUUCGAUCUUGAGGGAGAUUCACUUCCAAGUUGAUUUCAAUAGCGUUCUUCAAGUGUUUUCUUCGAUCUUCGCUAAUUCCUAUUCUCUAUUAUUCUAAUUGGUAUUUAUAGUAUUUAGAAUGCUUAGAAAGCCUAAAAAUUGGGUUUUUUCGUGUAUUUUGGAAGCAGAGUGUGAAAACGACUUGGGCAGGCACAUGGGCGUGUGGCCAACCUUUGUGGAAAUGCCCAGCUCAUGUGGAUUCUGAAAGUAGCUUUUUUAUCUCAUUUUGGCUCGUUUUUCACUCCUUUCGCUCCCAACUGCGCUUUUAAGUAUAGAAACAUGAAUUUAAAUGAUUAGGAUCAUCAAAUUCACUAAUUUACAUAAUUAAUCAUCCAAAAAAGCAUUCAGAAUGAGAUUAAAAUAUGUUACUUUUAUAGCUUAUCAAAUAUCCCUACACUUAAGCAUCCGCUUGUCCUCAAGCAAAAUCCUCAACUCUCAUUAAAAUUAAUCUUUCUCAACUUAUAAAUCUCAUCAAUAAUGUCUCAAAAUAAUUCACAAAUAAUUAUGCAUUGACAAUUCAACUAAAAAAGUACUAAAGAUUCAAACAAUCUAAGUCAAAAAAUUUUAAAGUUACAAAAACAUAGGUAUUUCUCCUUUAUCUAGGUAAUUACCUUUAAUUCAAAAUUGAAAAGAAUCGACAUCCCCACUAAAUAUUCACUCAAAUCAAUCAAAGUGUUUAAGGUUCAAGAAUAAGCACUCAAUAGCCAAACAAGAAAAGUCAUUACCAUAGGGUUGCAUGAAAAUCAAAUCUCCACCACUAUAAAAUGAUAUGAUACACAAAUCAAAAAGGUCUUUAAGAGGUUGUAGUGAGGCUUAGGUUAAGGGUGUGGAGAAAGGCUGAAAAAGUUGGUUAAAAUCAAAAUCGAAUUGAUAAAUUUCCAAAUUAGAAAAAUAAACAAAUGCUGAAUUAAGAACUAUUCAAGAAUAAUAAAAUGAGCUUCUUCUCAAAAUAUGAAUUUAACUGUUCAAGCUCAAUCAAUAAGACUAAUUAAUAAUCAAUAUUAAUUUUUCGAUAUAUAUAUAUUUGAUCUUUUUUUAAAAACAAUAAGAAAUAAUUCAGCAAAUCAAACAAAAGAGUAUAGUUAGGCAACUAACCAAAUCAAAUCUUGACAGAAAGAAAGUCAAUAAAACGGGAAAAAGUCUCAAUGAAAAGUUGAAUUAUGGGUUAACAUUAAUGGAAAAAUCAAGAAAAUGUGUGUUAGGCUCAACGGGGUUCACGAAGGGUUAAUUACGAAGGUAGGCUUUUAUGGGAUAAGUGGGUUAAAAUAUAAGUGUCUUUAUCAUCUCAGUAUAUCAAAUCAAAUGUGUGGUCUCGACAUGUAUAAUCAAAGCAAGUUUUAAAAUAAAAAAUCAAAUUGACACACUCAACCAAUAAUAAAAUGAGCAAAAUAAAUGUAUGCUCUAAAGGCUCAAAAUCUUACAAAAAUUCAUGGUUUUUUAUGUCAAACUUGCAGUUCUCAAACUUCAAGGUAAUACUUCAAUUUAGGGAAACAACCUAAACUUUUUAAUUUCUGAAAAAUAGUUUAUCAUGCUUGAUUCUUUGAUGUCUUCAAGUUUAAAUCAACCAAUACACAAUUAUCGGCAAAUUAAUCUAAAACACAUCAACAAAAAUUCCAAAUUGACAAAAAUUCAUUCUAAUGGAAGUAUGAGAAAAUUACUUAAAUACAAGACAUGAUUCAAGGAUUUUCUAAGAAUUAUAUAAAUAUCCUCCCCACACUUAAGAUGUACAUUGUCCUCAAUGUACAAACAGAUAUAAUCAUAGUAUAAAUAGAAUAUUCAUAAGAGAGGGAGAAACCUAAAACUUCCCUGAAUAUUGGAUGAAUUUGCUAGAAUGGUGAAAAGUUGAAUUGUAGGCAAAUCUAAAUGUAGUACAGGAUUCCAAGUAAACUAAUAAGAAAAUAAACACAAAUAAAAAAGAAGAUUAAGGGGUUAUAACUUGAUUUGAAACAACCAUAAAAAUAUAUUUCAAGAGAUAAUUAAAAGAAGUACAAGAAAAUAAAAAUAAAAACAAAACAACUAAAAGUAGAAAUAAACAUAAACAUAACAGAAAAUAAAUAAAAUCAAUGAUCAUCAUCGUUAGAGGCAUCAGUAGGGUGAGUCACCGCUACUGAAGAAGAGAUAUGAAGGUGCUGGCAGAUCUACUAUAAAGUCCCGUCAAUACUGUCGAACCUCUGAAAGUGGUGCUAUUCGAAAUGAGUGAACCGCUUGGAGAGGUCCUCUAAUGUAGCAGCAAAAGAAACAAGACGGUGACUCGAAGGUGGAUGAAGAGGUGGAUCCUCGUGAUGGAAAGAGGCUUCAUCAGUGAAGUCUCCGGUUCAUUCUGAGGGUCAGAAUGAAAUAAUCAUACUAAGAAGGAUCCACUCUACGAAGCCGCUCGAUCAUCUGCAUAUGUGUCAUGCUCGAUAAUUUCUAUGGGGACAUCUGCUCGACAAGUGUAAGCGAAGAAAACUGCUAUUGUGUGUCAAGGAGGCCGAAGUGUCAUGCGAGUCGAGUCACAUAAAGGCCUAAAACAGAUAGGACCCUUCCUACUACGUUGUAUCUGAUGACGAAAGGAGAGCGUGAUAAAGUAGGUUAGAUAAAAAAUAAGCCACAUGGCCAUGCUCCAUAGAAAGUAUGCAUCAGUGGUACCGAUGACUCUGGUGCUCUCUCUCCUACCGGUCAAUGUGUGAGCAAAGAGGGCAUUAAUAUACUGUAGAGCUAGAGGGAGAGAAAUCGUCUUCAAGUGACUCACGUCAUAAGGUGUCAUACUCACCAUGAGGUCUUUCCAGCAAAGAGAUGGCGAGUAGUGGAUGUGUCAAUGUAGGCGGAGAAAGUUCUCGGCACUCAUAAACUCUUCAGUGUAUAGUCUCAAAGCAACAUUGAACUCAGGGACACUCAUAUGACGCGCCAUGCCACCGAGUCUGAAAGUGAUGGUGCCCGGCUCAUCAUGAGACGACAUCACCUACUGAAAGGUAAAUGUGGAACAAAACUCCAAAGUAAGCUCCAUAUAAGUGGGCUCGAUGAUGGAAAAGAACUAGUCCCGCGGUGUGGUAGCAAUGAUGGCGCAGACAUGAUCAGCUAAUUGGACCAGCUACAAAGUAGCCCAAUUAAUGCAUCGGCCUAUGCCGAGUGGCCAAAGUCGAAUAAUCUUAUACAAGUCCUCUUAAGACCCUAAGAAAAACGGAGGAACGGAUGGCGUGCCUCAGCGGAAGCGCCCAAAAAGGAGGUCACACUCGGAGUCUUCUGCUUUUCUGAAGCGAGAACGGAAAUCUUAGACUUACUUUAUGUGUUUGUAAUGGUGUCCAACGGGUGGUGCUGACGGUCAAAAACGCGCGAUGGUCGGUGCAAGGGAUGGAGGAGGCUGGUUUGGACGGUGGAGGGGGUGACGCAUUUGAAAUGGCGUGUGUGUGUACGUGGAAAGGGGAAACGGUGGUGGAACAGGGCUGGUUGUGUGUGGUGCGGUGAGGAUGAAGGGAAGGAAAGGGUUCGACAAGGGGUCGGCGCGAGGGGAAAAGAGGGUAGUCGUAGGGGGCCUUGUGUGCAUGGAGUUUGAAGGGGUUAAGGGCUUUGGUCGAAUGUGGGUCAGCGAGGAGGGGAGAAUAAAGAAAGGGAAAGGGAGGAGCUAGGUUGUGGGGGCAUGGUUGGUGGUGCGGUGAGGCGAGGUAAGGUGAGGUGAGGUAGCUGAUCUGGUGAGAGAGAGGUUCAGCGGCGACGAGGGAGGAACGGCGGUCGGAAUAGAGGAAGAAAUUGGGAACGGGGGCUAGGGGCUAGUUGGGGAAGAAGACAAAACAAAGAAAAAGAAAGGAGGCUAGGGUUUUAAGGGUGACACGGACAUGUGAGGCCCAUGUUGGACCACACGCCCGUGUGGGACUUUUCCAACCCGUGGGCAAUAAAAUUUUUUAGCCCAGACUUCACACAGCCUCAAACACGUCCGUGUGUCUAUGCCGUGUGUGCUCUGCUUCGCUUCUCCCACACCCAUGUAGCUCGGCCAUGUCUCGCAUACGACCAUGUGUCUUGCCCGUGUAACUUUGUGACUUGAUUUAAGAUUGAAAAAAAUAGCUUCAAGUUUCACACGGCCGUGUGGCACGAUUGUGUUAACUAUUUCAGGCCGUGUAACCUUCAAAUUUUUGAAAAAUUAAGUCCCAGAAUCCACACAGCCAAGGACACGCUCGUAUGUCCAGGCCAUGUAGGUCAUAUGGCCAUGUCGCCAGGCUGUGUAACUCACUGUCGAAUACUUUUUCAUGUACACGGCAAAGGACACGCCCGUGUGUCUCGGCCAUGUGAUGAACUAUCGGCUACUCCAAUUUGCACAUGGCCUGGGACACGCCUGUGUGCCCAGGCCGUGGGUCAAAAACACACAUUUUUUAUUUUUUUAAGAUUUUAAAUUAGCAUGCAAUGAAAUUAAAAAAAUUAGAAAAAGUUAGACAUUCGGGUUGCCUCCCGAGAAGCGUUUAUUUAAAGUCUAAGCUCGACUUACCUAAUGUAUUGUUAUGGUGCUUCUCGGAGUCGAAGCUCCUCUUUAUCAUCUCUAAAAUCGUCACCACUAUAAAAUUUGAGUCGAUAUCCAUUUACCUUGAAUGUGCCAUAUGUCGAAUGUGUUACCUCUAUCGUACCAUACAGGAAAAAGGUUUGUACCAUGAAUGGACCUGACCAUCUUGAUCUCAGCUUUUCGGGAAAUAAUUUAAGCUUUGAAUUGUAUAAAAGGACACGAUCUCCAACUGCGAAUUGUUUGGGCUGCUUCAAAUGAGCGUCGUGGCGUUGCUUUGUCGCUUCUUUAUAAAGUCUCGAGUUCUCGUAAGCAUUAGCUCUCCACUCGUCUAACUCAUUUAGUUGCAUCAAUAUUUUCUCACCUGCAAGUUUAAGGUCGUAGUUUAGAAAUUUUAUUGCCCAAAAUGCUUUAUGUUCGAGUUCAAGCGGUAAAUGACAACUCUUUCCAUAUACAAGUCUGUAAUGAGAGGUUCUUAUGGGUGUCUUAUACGCAGUCCUAUAAGCCCAUAAAGCAUCAUCCACUUUUAUCGCCCAAUCCUUUCUAUUUGUCUCCACCAUUUUUUCUAUGAUGCAUUUGAGUUCUCGAUUUGCAACUUCAACUUGCCCACUAGUUUGAGGGUGAUAAAAGGUAGCCAUUCUAUGAUGCACUUCAUACUUAUUAAGACCUUAUCAAAUUGAGCAUUACAAAAAUGUGUACCUCUAUCACUAAUAAUCUCUCUAGGUGUUCCAAAUCGAGAAAAGAGCUUGUUAAGAAAUCAAACUACCACGCUAGCAUCAUUAGUAGGUAAAGCUUGAGCUUCUACCCAUUUUGACAUAUAAUCAACUACUACUAGAAUGUAUUUAUUACCAAAAGAGCUAGGAAAUGGGCCCAUGAAAUCAAUGCCCCAAACGUAAAAAAUUUCUCUGGCAUCUAUCACAAGAAGCAACAUACCUGUUAGCGUCCUUGAACAAUGUAGGCCAAUAAAAACCUGAUUCAAGUGUUUUAUGUGUUGUCCUAAUUCUACUGUAAUGUCCUCCUGUCGAUCCUAAGUGGCAAUGGUCCAAGAUUUUAUUCGCUCCUAAUUUUGUAACACACCUUCGAAUUACUUGAUCUGCACAUACACGAAAAAGAAAAGGGUCUCCCAGAAAUAAUUUUUCAUAUCGGCAAAGAAUCGCUUCUUUUGAUGAUGUGUCAACCUUUUUGGUAAGAUGUUAGCGGCCAUGUAAUUCACGAUAUUCGCAAACCAAGGGACUUUAGAAUCGAUUAUAACCAUGAGUUGUUCAUCAGGAAACGAGUCAUUAAUCUCAUUCUCAUUAAGCUCCUUGAGAUGGGGAUUCUUUAGUAGUGAAAGGUGAUAUGUUGUAAGAUUUUUAGCUCCCUUCUUAUCUUGGAUUUCCAAAUCGAACUCCUGCAAUAAUAAAAUCCACCUUGUAAGUCGAGGUUUUGCAUCUGAUUUAGCUAGAAGAUAGCGAAGAGCAGAAUGGUCAGUGUAAACAAUAACUUUAGACAAUAUUAAAUAUGGUCUAAAUUUACUGAAUGCAAAAACCACAGCUAGCAAUUCUUUUUCUGUAGUAGUGUAAUUUCUUUUACAUCUGUCAAAGUCUUGCUAGCAUAAUAGAUUGGCUGAAAAUGCUUGUCUCUUCGCUGUCCAAGAACUACACCUACUGCAAAAUCACUCGCAUCACACAUUAGUUCAAAGGGUAAAUUCCAAUCAGGUGCAACCACAAUAGGGGCAUUAAUUAAUUUUUCCUUAAUAGUAUCAAAUGCUUCUAAGCAUUCCUGACUAAAAUUGAAUGGCACAUCUUUUUCUAGCAAAUUAGUCAAGGGCUUAACUAUUUUAGAAAAAUCUUUGAUAGAUCUUCUAUAGAAUCCAGCAUGUCCUAAAAAGCUUCGAAUAGCCUUAACUGAACCAGGAGGAGAUAGUUUUUCGAUGGUUUCAAUUUUCGCUCUAUCAACCUCAAUCAUUUACUAGAAAUUUUAUGGCCCAACACAAUCCCUUCUCGAACCAUGAAGUGACAUUUUUCCCAAUUGGGCACAAGGUUCGUUCCCUCAAUCUCAUUAAAACAUGUUUUAGAUUUUUCAGACAAAGGUGGAAAAAAUUACCGAAUACUAAGAAGUCAUCCAUAAAUACCUCCAUAAUGUCUUCUACAAGUUCAUUAAAGAUUGCUAACAUGCAAUGCUAAAAAGUAUCAUGAGCAUUACACAAUCCAAGAGGCAUUCUUCGAUAAGCAAACGUACCAUGUGAACAUGUAAAUGUCAUUUUUUCUUGGUCCUCGAGAGCUAUCGGGAUUUGGAAGUAGCCAGAAAGUCCAUCUAAGAAGCAAUAAUACAUGUGACCAGAUAAUCUCUCCAACAUUUGAUCUUUGAAUGGUAAAGGAAAAUGAUCUUUCCUUAUGGCAUCGUUCAACUUCCUAUAGUCAACUCCAUCCCGUGACUGUUCUUAUUAGAAUCAACUCGUUUUUCUCGUUGGUCACAACAGUCAUGCCUCCUUUAUUAGGAACAACCUGCACAGGACUCACCCAAGUACUAUCAAAAAUAGGAUAAAUAACUCCAGCAUCUAGAAGUUUAAUUACCUCAGCCUUAACAACUUCUUUCAUGUUAGGAUUUAACCUUCUUUGAGCUUGCAUGCAUGGUUUGUACUCGUCUUCCAUUAAAAUUUUAUGAGUGCAAAAAGAAGGAUCAAUCCCUCUGAUGUCGAAAAUCUUCCAGGCUAUAGCUCUUUUAUGUUCCUUCAACACUUGCAAUAACUCAUCGUUUUCAUUUGGCUUUAAAUCUGAAGCAAUAAUCACUGGUAAUGUAGAACCGUCUCCAAGAAAUGCAUACUCUAGGUGAUUUGGUAAUUACUUCAGUUCCAAUUUGGGAGGUUCUUCAAUGGAGGGUUUUAAUUUUAUUUCAUUGUUAACCUCAAUGCCCUCAUAAUUAUUCUUUCUCAGUGAAGACUCAUUAGAAUCUAAAUCAAUUUUUGCCUCACUUAUCAUAGCAUUAUCGUCAUCUACCUCCUCUCCUUGAACAAGAAAUAGUUCCAACGUGUCCUUAUGAAUAAUUUCUUAUAAUGAAUCUUGAAUAACAUGAUCAAUAAAGUCAAUACAAUAACAUGAAUCAUCUUGUUCUCUAAAGAAUCGCAUGGCAUCAUAGAUUUUAAAAGUAAUAUCUUCAUCACCUACCCUAAGCACAAGUUUACCAUCACCCAUAUUAAUGACAGCACUAGCAGUUGCUAAAAAGGGGCGACUUAAAAUUAAAGGCACCUCACUACCCUCAUCCAUGUCAAGCAUAUCAAAAUCAACAGGGAAUAUGAAUUUAUCUACCUUUACAACUACAUCUUUAAUAAUACCUCUAGGAUAUUUAAGAAAUCUAUGGGUUAAUUGACUACUCAUCCUAGUGGGUUUCGGUUCCCCAAGACCAAGUUGCUUGAACAUUUUAUAAGGCAUCAAAUUAAUGCUAGCACCCAAAUCAGCUAAUGCUUUCUCAAUUUUUAAACUACCAAUAAAAUAAUGGAUGGUAAAACUUCCUAGAUCUUUCAGCUUUGUUGGCAGUUUAUUUUAAAGAAUAGCUAAACAUUCCCCAUUAAGUUCCACAGUGGAUAGCUCUUCAAACUUCUUUUUAUUUGUUAAUAGCUCAUUUAAAAAUUUUGCAUAUAUGGGCAUCUACAAAAUAACUUCAAAAAAAGGUAAGUUAAUUUGCAAUUGUUUGAAAAGUUCAAGAGUUUUACCAAAUUGUUCAUCCAUGCGGUCUUUCUUCAACUUUGUCGGAUAUGGGAUCGGUGGUUUAUAUUCUUUAAGCACUGGUGUUUGAAACUCUUCGGGUUUUACCCCCUCAUCAUUUUCCUUAUCAGUUUCCUGUUGCAGCUUCUUUUCAGGUUCAGCCAACACCUUCCCAUUCCUUAAUGUAACUGUUUUCUCAUACUUUUUUGGGUUAGGUUCGGUAUUACUAGAUGAACUACCUUGUUGCCUUUUUGAAACCAAUUUAGCAAGCUAUUCAACCUACUUUUCGAGCCAAAGAAUAUAUGCUUGCUGAUUUUUUAAAGUUGUCUCGGUGUUUUGAAAAUGAGUCUCUAACACCGAAAUAAAUUUUGUCAACAUCUCUUCAAGGUUCAGCUUCUUCUCUGGCUGAUAAGGUUGUUGUAAGCUCGAAAGGGUUUGCGAUCUUUGGUUUCCUUGACCACCCCAUGAAAAGUUUGGGUGGUUUCUCCAACCUGCAUUAUAGUUAUUACUAUAAAGGUUAUGUUGAGUUCUAGAAUUAGUACCCAUAUAAUUGAUAUGCUCAUUCUCUGUGCUAGGACUAAAGGGUAUAUCUUCUAGAUUAUUUAUUCCACCUCCAUUUGCAUCGCAUUGCAUCACCGAAUUUACCUGCGUAAAAAGAUAUAAAUCAUCAAAUUACUUGUUUAAUAUUUCUACCUGAUGUGAUAACAUGGUGAUCGCAUCUAAAUUAAAGGCACGGGCUACUUUCAUCAGUUUCAUCCUCAUGACAUGCCACUGAUGAUUAUUCAGUGACAUCUCCUCAAUAAAUUCAUGAGCCACUUCAGGUGUUUUAUUAUUCAGAGUUCCACCGGCUACUGCAUCGAUUAGUUUCCUAGUUGAGGGAUUCAAACCAUUGUACAUAAUACGAGGAACAAGAACAGGAUCUACAAGAUUUGCAGUAAUUACAGGAGGUAGUUGAUUAUUUUGAUUAUCACCCAUCUCCUUAGUAAUAAAGGAACCUGCCAAAAGCAAACAAAAUAAAAAUUAGAAUGUAAAAAUUAAACUAAAAAAAUCAAAUAAAGUAAAAAUAAAUGGCUAAAUUAAUAAAAAUAAAGUGUUCCUAAUAUUUUAGUCACCGGUAACUACGCCAAAAACUUGAUGGUUACUAAACUAACUAUAAAUAAUACAAAGGCAAGUGCACCUAUCGAAUAAUAGUAUAGUUAUGGUGAGUAAGGAAUAUCGUAUCCAUGAGGACUAAAAGUAUUAGUAAUUACUGUCUUCUUAUUAUCUAGCCGACAAAUUAGGGUGAUGUGUUUUAAUCUAAAAUUACUAAACUAAUUUAUCUAAUAACGCAAUAGAGAAUGAAAUAGGAAAAUAAUCGAAGAUAACCAAUGAGAUAGACAAUACCCAGGAAAGAAAUCCACGUAGACUUCACCUAUUAUUAUGAAUUUGAAUUGAACAAUUUGUUCACUUGCUGCUUGAUCCAUAGAAAUCCCUAAAUUGUGUUAAUAUCUUUUUCGAGAGUAAGAACAACAGACUCUAGGUUGAUUAAUUGAAAUCUCUUUCUAAUUAAAACCCCUAUCGUCGCAUUAACUUAAUCUAUGGAUUCCCCUAUUAGAUUUGACUCUAAUCUGGUACAUUUAUGUCGUCAUAUUUCUAGGAUUGCAUACAACUCCACUCAAUUAUACUAGAUCUACUAUUAAACAAGGACUUUUGCUCCACUGAAAUUAGCACAUUAAACAUGAAUUAAUAUCCUGAAAAUAUUAAAAACAUGAAAUAAGCAUACAUAAUUGAGAAUAAUAAUCAAGUAUUUAUCGCCUAAAACAUAAAUUAAAUAAGAGGAUUCAUCAUAGGCUUCAUCCUCUUAGGUAUCUGGGGAAUUUAGUUCAUAAUCCUGAAUAGAAACAUCUCAAAGUUAGGAUAACCAUAAGACAUAAAGAAACUCAAUAAAACUUCAAAAAAAAUUAAAUGGAGACCUUCGAUCUUGUGGGAGAUCCGCUUCCAAGUUGAUUCCAACGGUGUUCGUCGAGUGUUUUCUUCGAUCUUCUCUAAUUUCCCCAUUCUCUAUUCUUCUAAUUGAUAUUUAUAGUAUUUAGAAUGCUCAGAAAGCCUAAAAAUUGGGUUUUCCGCGUAUCUGGGAAGCAGAGUGCGAAAUCAACACGGGAUGGCACAUGGGUGUGUGGCUAGCCCAUGUGAGCCCAGCCCGUGUGGAUCUUGAAAGCAGCUCUUUUUGUUCGAUUCUGGCUCUUUUUUCGCUCAUUUCACUCCCAAAUGCUCUCCUAAGUAUAGAACAUGAAUUUAAAGGAUUAAGAGCAUCAAAUUCACUAAAUUGCAUAAUUAAUCAUCCAAAAACGCAUUAAGAAUGAAAUUAAAAUAUGUUACUUUUAUAGCUUAUCAGAUGUAUUAAUGGACAAUUGGAUAUGAGAUCACAAGCAACAAAUAUAAUCAAUUGUAAGAGGAUUUAUCGCAUCAAAACCAAAGUUUGGGCUAAAGGGUUUCAUCAAACCAAGCGUAUACUAUGCUAAAACCUUUAGCCUCAUCAUCAAACCAACCAUGGUUCGUCAAACAUAUCAUUCAAAUUUAAAGAGAGAUUUUACACUACACCAAAAAAGGCUUUUAGUGGCAUUUUUAAAAAACGCCGCUAAAGAUCGAGUAUUAGCGGUGGCUUUUGGAAAAUGCCGCUAAAAAUGAGCAUUAGCGACGUUUUCCAAAAAGUGCCGCAAAAAACCUAAGCCCAAUUUCUGAGUUUUCGAGGGCUUUAGUGGCGUUUUUGAAAAAGCACCGCUAAUGCUCAAGGCUUUAGCGGCGUUUUUGAAAAAUCACCACUAAUGCUCAAGGCUUAGCGGCAUUUUUGAAAAAGCGCCGCUAAUGCUCAGGGUUUUAGCGGCGUUUCUAAAAAGCGCCGCUAAUGCUCUAUUUUUAGCGGCAUUUUUGAAAAAGCGCCGCAAAAAAUAUUUUAUCUGUCUAUUUAUUAUUUAAUUGGUUUAUUUAUAUUAAAUAAAAUUUAAAUUAUUUUUAAUUGAAUAUUCAAAAUCUUCAGAAAAAAUAAUGACACGUAGAAAUAAUUUGAAAUAAAAAAACAUAGAAAAAUAUUUGUUAAAAAGUGGAAAAAUUAAAAUACUAUUAUUUAAAAUAAUUUAAAAUUUUUUUGGGUACAUUACUGAGUGUUUUUUAAUUUACAUAUUAAAUGAUUUCUUAUAUAAUCGUAAAAGAGAUAGUAUUAAUUUUAAAAUAUUGAAUUAAUUAUCACUAUAGUUUAAGGUUUUUGGUUUAGGGUAUAUGGUUUAGAGUUUAAGGUUUAGGAGUUACUAUUUUAAGGUUUUUGUAGAUUUUUGUUGGUGGUUUGGAUCCUAGUGUUUUUGGAUAUUUUGUUGUUGGUGGUUAGAGAUUUUUGUUGCUGGAUAGAAAUGUGUUUGACUCUGGAUAUUUUCAUCAUUUCAGGUAAGAAUGAUUGAUUUUUAUUACGGUCUGAUGUGGAUGAGGAGUUUGAAUCUUCUAGAGUUGAAGAAACUAGGAGUACUAUUACAAAUGGAAGCCGAAGCCACACUAACAGACUAUCGUGAUAAGACAGCUAAUUUAACAACUAAUUCUGGUAAGCUUUUUAUCUUUAUUUUGUCUUUAAUAAGCUUUUUUUAAUUGAGAAACCGUUUUUUUUUCUUUUUAAAUGUAAAACUUUUUUAGUAAGCAGCAACAUAACUAAAUCACCAUAUGCUAAUAAUGAGAAGAUUUAUUGUUCCUAUUCCCUUGGCUCCAAUUUUUUUGGUUCAAAACUUGAUGUCUAAGUGUAUGCUUGAGUAUUUGGCAAUCAAUCCUGUGAAAUAGUUUCUAGUUAAGGUGGCAUAGAAGCAGAUAGUCCAGGCAUAAUCUGUUCUUACAAUUUUUGCGAAAUUGUUGUCUUUUGAAAUAUCUUUAAGAUUAAGGAACUAUACUAAAUGCGGUCACAAAACUUAUGGAGGACAGUUAUAAGGGUUGGGGUUUAAGGGUUAUGGGUUAGGGGUUAAGGGUUAAGGGUUUACAAUUUACGAUUUAUGUUUUACAAUUUAGGAUUUAGGGGAUAGGGGUUAGGGGUUUAAGGUUUACAUUAAUUAGUGUUUUUUAAUUUAUAUAUUAAAUAAUUUCUUAUAUAAUUGUAAAAGAGAUAAUUUUAAUUUUAAUAUAUUAAAAUUAUGAUUAUAGUUUAAAUUAUUUAAGAGCUUAAUAGAUAAACUUUAUAUAUAUUAACUGGUUUAGGAUUUAAGGUUUACUUGAGAUUUGUUAAAUGAUGAAAAUUUAUACAAUCAAUUAAUGCUUUUAUAUUUAAAAAUAUUUAAUCUAAACCAUUUGAUAUAUUUAAAUAUUAGAUUUAACAAAAAAAAUUGAUAAAUAAAUAAAUAAAUAAAAAGUAACAGAUUAAUAUGGAUAGGUAACUAUCUAUUUUGGAUAGGACCAAAUUAUAACAAAUAAAAAUGAAAUAUAAAAACUAAAAUCAUUCAACAUCGAACAUCUAGCAUAAUAGUUAUAUUUUAGUUAAGAAGAAAUAUCUCUAAUAAAAUGGAGAUUAAAUCGGAAAAGAAUAAUAUAAAAUCGUGAUUAACAUUUCAAUCUUUAAUAGAAAUCGUGAUUAACAUUGGAUAAUUCUAACUUAAUAAUUAAUUGCAGUCAUUUAAUCAUUUGUUUUCUUAUUAAAAUAUAUGAUAUUUAUUUUGAAAGUACUUGAUUUUUUUUUAUAGAAAUCCAAUUUAUAAAAAAUAGUAAUAAUAAAAGUUUUAUAAAAUCACUUAACUAAAAAUUGUUAGCAGACAAAAUAAAAAAUUUUUAGCAGAGCAAAACGGCGUCAUUUUGUUUGAGUGAAAUGAUUUUUUGUAGCUUUUUUAUAAAAAAAAAACGCUAAAGGUAAGCAAUAGAAUCAUUUUAUUUUAAAAAUACUCAGUUUUAUCCUCAAAUUUUCCCAACCUCUAAUUUUCCCCCCUAAAAUUACAAACUUAAAUUUACCGCUUCAUUUUAAAGGGUUCCCACCGAACAGAAGAAACAAGAGAGCAGGAGAGAAGUAAAGGAAAAGAGGAGAUUCCAUCAUCGCCGUCCGAAGAGGAGGCACGACCAUGAGCAGGGUCAGAGUCAGAAUAAGGAGACCUUGUAGGCGAUUUUUGCGCUAACUGACGAUCUUAAAAACUAGUUUAUCAAGCAAGUAAGACCACAAGUUUCUGUCUCUUGCUUUGAAAUCAAAACCCUAGAUUGUUGCUUUCUGCCUAUUUUGUUAUUUAUUUUUUUCAUUGUUUUUAUGUUCUUUUAGUUUUUUUUUUAUCUUUAAUUCUUUAUUUUUAUGUUCAUGUUCCUGUAGCUGGAAUAUUAUUGUAGCGAUGAAAACAUGAGUAAGUAUAUCACGUGACCGAUUAAGAAGAACAAAAAAGGUUUUAGGGUAAGUAAUCACAGUUCUCGCUUGAUUUGAGGUUUUCUUUUGUUUAUUUAUUUGUUAGCGUUAAGAAUGUAACCGUGCUUAUACCAUCCUCUAACGCCUAUAAGCUUGUAGCCUUGAUUGGUUUUGCUGCGUGGAAAUGAUUAGUGACCUCUCCAGUCACCAAGAAGAUGGAACUAUUACGCUAAUUCUUAGUCUUGGAUGGGGCUUAAUGGGGUAAAUCCCCUUAUGGUUGGAUAAAAGGCUUGUAAGAUUGAUGAGGUUAGCAUGUUAUGCUUGCAUUAUUCUUUGUUUCCAAUUUGCUUUAGGCUUGUAAGAUUGAGUUUUCCCUUUUUAUUCUUUAUUUUAUGUUACUAAUUAUGCAGUUGGGACAAAUUUAACAAUGGUGCGUACCACGUUUGAUGCCUUAGUUUACUUUGGAAGACUUAUCUUCGAUUUUGAAACAUGCAUUUUUUAUUUCAGAUAUGUAUCUGCUGAAAGAUAUUCUGAGGCCUUGGAUCUGCUUGAGUUGGGUGCACGUCUCCAGUUGAAGCAUUGCCAAGUUUUCUUUUUCCUCCUUCAAUUACAUUGGCAUGUCGACUUAAGUUAUUAUGCUAUUAUACCAAGUAUUGGCAUGUCAAUUUAAGUUAUUAUGGAACAGCCUCUCCAGUUAUACUUCUUAUUUGAUAGAUGAAUGACAGCCUCUCAACAUUUGCAAUAUGUGUGGGGGCUUAAGAUUAUACUGCUUACAGCCUCCGUUAUCAUUUGAUUUUAAUUUAGUAUAAUUUGGUUUCUUUAAUUUUAUAAUAUUGACUUGAAUUUUUUAAAAAAAUGAUAGAUAUGUGAAUUUAUUAUUCGUUGGGAUUGAUUGGAAUUUUAGGUGUUCAUUUGUAAAAGUUUCAUAACUUGUUUGUUCUGUUGUCAGAAACUGAAUAUGACCCAUGGUUUUGCUUGGCACUUUUACAUUUUAAAAUAUCCAUAUGCUUUUAGCUACAGUUUUUGAAUAAGCCUAUACGGGUUCUAGCAUUGGAGAUGGAGUAGGAGACUCUGGGUCCGAAGAAAGCUGUAUGAUUGAUGUUGCUGAUCCUGUGUUUCUGGAACUUCUUAAGGAUGAAAAUGAUGGCCUUGCUGUAUGGUCUUCUAUUGAUAAAACUCCAUUUACAAUUAGAUGAAAGCAAUUACAAACAUAGUAUUACUAGAGGAAAGUAUAGUUGUCUAACCAUUACAGGCUUUUUUAAUUAAGAAUUUGUUUCUCAUUGCUCUUGUAGAGUGCUUUGCUUUUUAAUUUUUAGAUUGUUCAUUUUCUCUAUAUCAAGUAUUUCGAAUUUCUAUUAAUGCAAGUAAAAGCAACACUUUGCAUUUCUAAAUUAAAGCUAGCUUACUUUAAUAUUGUACGCUCUUCCAAUAGUACAAUAUCAUAUUUUUUGAGCUAUGAAUUGUGCAUAUAACUAGGCUAACCUGGUUUUUGUUUGUUUUGUAACUAACAUCCCUUUUUUUCUGUAGUUUGAAAUAAGUCGACACUUGACAGAAGAUUGAUAACAUGUUUGGUUUGGUGAAUGGAUUAGCCAUUACACCCCUAUUUAGUGGGCCCGACUUAAUCCCCACUUAAUCCCGUGUUUGGUUUGAUGUAUUGCCUAUUACAGGCCUAUUACGUCACGGAUGUAUUCCUCAUUUUCUUUGCUUCAACAACGAUUUCUAAUCCGUUCCAAAAGUAAGGAUUAGCUAAUCGUCUCUGUUUUACCCUCCCCAGCCAAAAUCCAUCUCCACCCCACCCUCUCCCUCCCAACAUCAAUAGCAGUUUUCUUCGAACCAAAUCUCCACCGUCUCAGAUCUCCUGUGAGUAAUCUCAACAGCAGUUGCCAGUGAAAAUUGCCCUUUCUUCAAAAACCCAGCCCUAAACCCUUCUUCUCUUUCAAUACUCCAUUCGAACAGGUUGCGGCAUCUCCCUCCUCUGAGGUAUGGCUCUGUUUCUUUAACUUUAGCAUUGAGCGACUUUUUUCAAGUCCAAAAUAGUCUACUCAACUUUGAAUUUAGGCCUAUUUUUGCACAGUUACGGUCUUUUUGGGGGUUCUUUGUUUUUUUUUUGUUGGUUUGGUUAAAUCAUGUUCUGUUAUUUGAAUUUAAACAAAAAAAAAGAGAAAGACGAAGGUUUUUGUUAAGCCAAUUGUGAAAAAGCAGUAGCAACAGCAACCGAAUGCAGACCAUAUCACUGGGAAUAAAAUCCGGAAGAGUUCUGUGUUUUCAAGGGGGAAGCUUUCUGCUCCUCUUAGGCAACUUCAAAUGGAUUUGAGAAAAUUGAUGCUUCCUUAUACUGCUCUCAAACUCAAGCCAAUUGAUGUUAAUCUGAAACUCUUUUUCGGUCGACUCAAUCCCUACAAGAAAUUUCUUUCCUUAUCUCUUCCGAAGGGUUCCUCUCUCUCUCUCUCUCUCUCUCUCUCUAUUUAUCUCAACAAAUUUGAUCUGAAAGAAAGAAAAAAGAAAACUAUUUCCUUUCCAUGAAAUACAUACAGAUCUUCUCUCUACCAAACAUUUUUUCUUUGCUAAGGGUUCUUGCUUUUCAAACCAUUUUUUCGUCAUUUUUCUUGUAAUUGUUUUUCUUGUUAGAGUUCAGAUUUUAGAUUUUUUGGUUGUUGAGUCUUAGAGGCAGUUGUAUUCAGUAAUGGCUGGCUUGCUUUGAUGCAUUGCUGCUGUAUAUCUUUGUAGAAAACGAAUCUGUAUCUAUUAUUAACACAAAUUUGAUUAGUUCAUGCCAAUGGAUUUUUAAAGUUAAAUUAGUUAUUGGCGUUAGAAAUUUACUCUUAUGCCUGGAAUGAGAUCUGGCUUACAGAUCAACUACUGGAGUUAAUUGUGGAAAUUUGUUUGAUUUGGUUUCUUAUAAAAUUGUUACCCUGUUCUAUUUAUGUUGGAGUAGCUGAAAUCUGAGGUUGCAUUUGUCAUUAACAAAUAGAAAUCCAAAAAGAGAGGAAAUUUAUAUCAUCCCCUCCACUUUUUCCUUGGAAUUGCGUGCUUCAAAUGUUCACUAAUAUGGUUAAAAAUUCAUGUUUUAAAAAUUCUGUCUUCUUCUGAAAGUUUGUAGCAGUUUGUUGAAUCAUGCUUCUUGUUGAUUUAACUUUGUAAAUUCCGUGAACAAGUCUAAACCUUUACUGCUGAUUUCAAUGACAUAGCUACAGUUGUAACUCACUGCUAAUUCUUGUCAUCCAGGCAUGCAUGCUCUGUUAGCGGCUUGACUUGCAGUCUCGAAGGUGUAAUUCACUGCUGAUUCUUGUGAUCCACUGCUUCAUUUUUUCUCUCGGUCUCAGCGUUUGGUUUGAGGUAUGAAUCUUGAACUUUUCAUUUCUUUGUCUGUCUUUGCCUUGGAUUGUGGCAUGUUCAUGUUGGUAUUUCUGAAGAUCAAGUUUUUGGGCUCUGGCAUGAUUAGAGAGGGUUAUAAAUCAUCAUUUCAUUGCAUGGGAAGCAUCGGUGUGCCCUUUACUUUUGAUCUUGAAAUAUGAGAAAAGGAUUAUAUGAGAGGGGCUAACACAGAAGUAAAGAGAAAUUACAUGGAAAAAAAACAGUAGGAACUUAAGGAGCAGUCCCUGUUCAUGCAUUUUAUGUCAAAAAGUGUGCUUUUCAACAUCACGACAUAGUUUUAGGAUUUAUAUUUGAUGUACUGACAGUCGAAAACUCCUUGACAUAUCGCAAAGCAGCAGAGGCCAUUGUGUGUAGUCUUCAACCGGAUUCACCAACUGUAUUAUGUUUGAUAUGUGGUUUGAAACAUUGAAAAAUUGUACAGCUGGACAGUGAGAUUUUGUUUGAAAUUUUGACUGUUAUACUUUGUUGUUUCAUCUUGUUUUUUGACAUUGAGUAUAAUAAUUUUUCUGUUAUACUUUGUUGUUUCAGAAAAUCCAUAGCCGUUGUGAUGUGUUGUUAGAAAUAAAUUGUUUGGAAUCAUUGCAUCAUGUUAAGGGUACUCUAAUGAUACAACAACUGAAUUCGUAUGUCAUUCAUGCCAUUGGAGACUUGUUGCAUUGAUAUUGAGAUAUUGGUAUUACACAUAUGCAUUGAGAAUGCGAUAGGAUGGCUAAUUGCUUAACAAAGGCUACAAAAGGAGUCCAUCAUUAGCUUUUACUCUUGUCCCGACCUCUUGAUUUUGCUUUGAAUGUAUGCAUGAGGAUGUUAUUGAUUUAUGUUUUCCUAGAUUGAUUGCUAUGUAAUAGCUUUUACUCUCCUUAAUAAAAAAAAAUAAAAAUGCAUGGACUAUAUCUUGUGUUUUUCCUCAAUAGCAAUGUUUAGACCUUAUUCAAUUUGAUUGGUGUUGGAUUUAGAUUUAAGAUAAACAUUAAAAACAAUAAAAAAAAAGUUGAAUUUGAAGUAUUGAUAGACACCAAUCGAUUAUAUUUUGAUUUAAUAAGUCCAACUGACUAAUUCCAACAAAUAUAAUAAUAAGAAAUUUGAUAUAUUUAAGUAAGAUUUUGGAUUCUGAUUUAAUAUUACAAAAGCUUUAUCAAGUAAUAAAAGAAUUAAUUUUCUUUAAAUAAGAUUUUAAAUUCUAAUUAGUAGUUAUAUAGCAUGGUAUGUGUGUGAAAAAUGGCGCAUUUAGAAGAUAUGUAUGUUUUUUUAAAACAAUAGGCUUAAAUCACAAUUAUUUGUACAUGUAAAUACAAUACUACAUUACAAUCUUUUCCAAUCAUAAUUGCAAAUACAAUACUACUUUUUAAUAAUUAUUUGUACAUGUAAAUGAGAUAAAAGUUAUAUAUAUUUUUACAAAAUGAAAUUUAAAUUUAAAAUGUUAUAAAAGUUUUAAAACUUCAAUUUCAUUAGUAAACAAAAUCCUCAUUCUUUAUUUUAUUUGUUUUAAAAUUAGGUCACCUUAAUUAAACUAAUCAUCAAUAAAUAAACUAAUCAAUGUUCAAACUUUGAACAUGCUUUAUAAUUUUAAAUUAUAAUGAGUUUAGUUAUAAUCUAACAAAUACCAACAAUUAAUUUUAGGUCAAUUAUACAUAUACCUUUAAAUAUCUUUUCUUUCAUUAUUAUUUGGGUGAUUGAUAAAGAAAUGAAAUUAAAGUUGCAACGAUUUCAUUUAAUAGAUACUUUUUUGCUUCGUGUGUUCUAAAUUUGUGCUGUUUAUUUUUAUUUGAUAAUGUAUAAUUGCAACUUCAAUUCUUUGAUAGUGUGUUCUAAUGUUAAUAUGUUACAGUAAUGGCUCGUCUGCCUUUAAUUGCACAAAGUGUGAGGCGUAAAAGAAUUGGUAUUGCAUUGACAAUAUGGUUGGAAAUCUGUAGAAUUACGAUUUGGUUCUUAUUUAGAAUGGGUGCCAGCCUUAGCCUACAUACUUAUAGACCAAGGAUUAGGUCCUAUACCUUAGAUUUUUAUGCAAAAAGGGAUUAUGUGAAAAGACUUGUAUAUGCUAGUGACGAGACCUGUAUUGAACAAGUUAGGAUGAAUAGAACUGCCUUUUUUAAACUAUGUGAGAUGUUAGAAUCGAUAGGGGGAUUGAAGCCGUCAAGGUUCAUGCUUGUUGAUGAGCAAGUAGCAAUGUUUUUACAUAUUAUCUCCCAUCACCUGAAAAAUCGAGUUAUCAAGCAUCACUUUAGAAGGUUCGAGGAAACUGUUAGCAAAGCAUUUCAUAGUGUUUUAAAUGUUGUCAUACGCUUACAAGAUGUGUUAUUUAAAAAGCCGGAGCCAAUUACAGCCAAUUCUUCUGACACAAGGUGGAAAUGGUUUAAGGUAUUGGACUGAGUUUUAUAUAUAACUUGUACAACAUUUAGUUGCUUUAGAUUUAAAAUAGUAUUCUAACUCAAGGUUUUAUAUCAUGUGAUAUAGAAUUGCUUAGGUGCUCUCGAUGGAACCCACAUCAAGAUUAGGGUUCCAACAGUUGAUAAACCUAGAUAUCGAACGCAAAAAGGUGACAUAGCAACAAAUAUGCUAGGUGUUUGUACACCUGAGAUGCAAUUUGUUUAUGUUCUUCCUGGUUGGGAAGGUUCAAUUGCCGAUGGACGAGUUCUUCGAGAUGCCAUUAGUAGAAGACAUGGAGUAACAGUUCCUCAUGGUAAAGUGGAUAGUUAGAGGACUUUGAUAUUGUUCAUUAAGAUCAAACUUUUUAUGCUGAAUUAAUCAUUUUAAAAAAAAUUUAAUUUUAUAGGUUGUUAUUAUCUAGUUGAUGCUGGAUACACAAAUUGUGAGGGAUUUCUUGCACCUUUUAGAGGAAAACGAUAUCUCUUGAACGAGUGGCGUCAAGGUUAUCAGCCAAGUUCUCCAGAAGGGUUUUUUAAUAUGAAACAUGCCUCAGCACGUAAUGUUAUUGAAAGAUGCUUUGGGUUAUUAAAACUUAGAUGGGGAAUACUUAGGAGUCCAUCGUUCUAUCCUGUAAUGGUGCACAAUAGAAUUAUUAUUGCAUGUUGUUUGCUCCAUAAUUUUAUUCGAACCCAUAUGAGUAUUGAUCCCAUUGAAGCAGAGGUGGGAGAAGGAUUACCUAGUAAUGUGGUGGAUGACGAUGAACCGAAUAUCACAAAUAUUCAUCCAUUGGAUGCUUGGGCUACUUGGAGGAUGGAACUAGCCAACCAAAUGUUCGAUGAAUGGCAAGCAUCUAGAAAUUAGUUAGGUUUAGGGACAAAUUGAGUUUGACUUAAUUUGUUGAUGUUAUUUUAUGUAUCUAGUUUAUGAAAUUUUGGUGGUGUUUGAAUAAAAUUCUGUAUUGUACUAAACUUGUUG